UUUUGUUUUUUUUCCUUUAGUUCCCUUUAAUUUAGUCAUCAACUACUGAAGGGACUAAAUUCUCAUGAUGUCAGAUUUGACGGUAGCUGGCUAGCAUUUCUUCUUUUAGAAACCAUUAUAUUGCGCGAUGAGUGAAAAUGAAACCAAUUAAAGUAACCAAGAUUGAAUAAAUCUCUUGGUUAGGCAGCGUUUGUUUUUUUUUUUAAAUCUUAAUAAACUUGAAUUAGUUUGAAUUUUGAAUAGAGUUGAAUGUCUAAAUUUGAAUGACAUGUUUGUUUUUUUGUCUCAAUAGUUAAAAAUAAAUAUUAAGUUUUUUUUAAACUAAAAAAAUCUGAAAAUUAAUAGUUUUACAUUUAUGCCCUUACAAAUUAUAAUGUUAAACAAAUAAUAAAUAUCUCAAAGAAUAUAAAUAAGCCAAUAAAUUAUCAUAACGUAAUUCAUAUUCAAUUGAGUACAACUCUUUAAUAUUUUAUAUCAUAUAUGUUAAUUAAUUUUAUUAUAGUUUGUGAUGUUUUUAUAUGAAAAAUAUUCAUAAAAAAUUAUGAAGAUAAAUAAUACUAAUUUGAACAAAAUAAAAAGAUAAAAAUAAUAAUAGUCUACCACUAUAUAUUAUCACAAGUUAUAUACAGAUGGGUAAUAAUGCUAAUUAUUAAAUUUUAUUUAGCUAAGGAUGAAAAUUAAUUAAUUAGAUAGGCAUAUUUUGGAAAAUAUCUUUUAAUGAUAGCAUUCAAACUUUUUAGAUUAAGUAAAAAGCUAAAAAAAUUAACUUAAUAACUUAAUGACUUAAUUGUUGAAAAUCUUCAUUAAGUUAAAAAACAAAAGCAGAGUUAGGUUGUGUUUGUUUUUUUAUCUGAAAUCUGAAUAGGUCUGAAUUUAGUUGAAGUGUGAAUAGGUCUUAAUAAAAAUGUUUGAUUGACAUGUUUGUUUUUUCUUUUUCAACAUCUGAAGAGAAAAACUUAAAAACUAGUAGUUUGACAUAACUAUCCUUUUAAGCAGUGCAUAUAUUUAUUCUUCACAAUUUAUAAUUUUCACAGGUUGAUUAGUUUGGUAGCAUUAAAAAAAAAAUAUUAUCAUUGUUGAUCUUAAUUUAAAUUUUUAAUAAAAGAUGUAAUUAUAACAUCAAAUUUAUUAUAAAGUCAACACUGUUAUUUUAUUUUUGAUUCAUUAGAAUGGACAUAAUUUGAUUUGUUCAAUAUUUUAGUUUAAUUAAUGUUAUCAUGUGAAUAAAAAUUUAAAGCAAUUAAAAAAAUGAGUGAUGAUACAGCCACAAACUCUUGUACAAACUUAUCUUAUACAAACUGAUGUGGCAUUAAUUCAUUGGUUGAAUGAAAAUAUAAAAUAAUAGAAAUAAAUCAUGUGGACCAAGAGAUAUUUAGUUCAACCAAUGAAUUAACGCCACAUCAGUAUGUACAAAAUAAGUUUGUACAAGAGUUUGUGGUAAUAUCAUUACUUUAAAAAAAUAACUUCAAGAACAAUACAAAAAUAUUAGGUUUACAUACAUAAUAUUAUAAAUGCAUGAAUUGUUAAGGGUAUUUUUGAGAUUUGAAAUUAAAAUUUUCCAUUUAGACUUCAGACUUCAGAUAAAAGUAAACUUUUUCUAUUUUUUCUUUUCAGAUAGAAUUGUCGGAUAAUAAGUGGUAAGUUAAAAAAACAAACAACUUAAAAUAAAUAAAUGUCUGAAAAAAAGGUUAAAUUCAAACUUUAGACUAAAAAACAAACAACACCUUAAUAACUUAACUGGUUGAAACUAAAUCAAUUAAAUCAUUAAGUUAAAACAAACAAACAGCCCCUAACUCUUUUCAAAAUGAAAUUUUCUCAUAAUAGAAUAAUUUUCUUUCUAUGACAAUGAAUUUAAUAAUUUUCUAGUAAGUUGUCACCAUUACUUGUCCGUAGGAAUGGCAACGUGUAUCAAAUAUUUGGUGAGAAAAUCCAAUAAUAUUUCCUUUUUCUCCUAUUCAUUCUCAGGAAUUUUAGUGCAACUUGUUAAGCACGACACGAUGAAAUAGACGUACUCUCACUGAAUUACGACAUAAAAUUGAAUGGUGUCAUGAGUGAAAGUGCAACUGUUUAAAGCCACCGAGAUUGAAUAGGACUCCUAUUUGAUCUUUUGAAUGUUGAAAUUUCUCACCAUCUCUAUGACAAGAGCACAAUUUUCUUUCUAUAACCAUUCAAAUGCAGGGAAUGCAAUCAGUAUCAAAUAUUUGCUAAGAAAAUUCAAUAUCGUUUCCUUCUUUCUCAUAUUAAUUCCCAGUAAAGGUCUUUCAGGUCAAUGUACGUAGUCAGAGUGUAUGCAUGAGAUAGAGAUGCGCAUAGAAACUUAGCCAAAAAUUAACACACGUCGAUAUCAACAGUGAUGAGUCUAAUUGGGCUUCUUGUUUUAUCCUCAUAAAAAUCUCAAGUGCUCUCAUUGUAUAACAUCAUCCUAUUAAUUCAUUACAUCCAUAUUAUGUGUGCCUAUCAAUUAAAUGCCAAAAAAUAGAUACAUAAGAAGAGCUUUAUGUAAUACAAGAUCGGACCACAUUGAGCCUUUUUUUUUACCAUAUUUGGUAUUUUGAUGAGUUUUGAAAUACUAGGGAGAAAUGAUUAAUUUUAACAAAUGAGAUGCUAGUUUUAAUCAUUCUUUGUACGAAAAACAUUAAGGAAAAAAAUUCUAGUAUAUAAGAAUCAUUUAUUUAAGAGAGAUUGUCAAUUUUCUCCUAUUGAAAUUAUUAUAUACCAAUUACCCUUUUAUUGUUUUCAUAAUAGCCAAUAACCUUCCUAACAGCAUAAUUUUAUAAUAUUACCCAUAUUUUAAAGUAUAUUUUUAUUCAUAUUUAUGAUAAAUUAAAUAUAUAAAUAAAAUGAAGUACUAAAAAUGAGAAAUAUAUAUUUUGGUAAGAAUAAAAAAUUAAUAAUAAGGUAUUUUUCUUUUAGUUUUUGUUAUUUUUGAACAUUUUUCUUAUAAUAAAUAUAUUUUCAUAUUUCCAAGAUAAUUUAUCAAGUAAAUGACCCAUUUACCCCUCUUUUCGUUUAAAUUUUUUGUGCCAAUAAGGUUUUUAGAUGUUAUGAAAAUAAUAAGGGUUAAGUAGUAUAUAUUGACUUCAGUAAGGAGAAAUUGACAAUUUCCCUUUAUUUUCCAAGGGUUGGAUAUACUGCUUAGGGAGGGCUUUGAGUCCCAUUUCAGAGAGGCCCUGCACUCCAUUUCCUUCGUUUACGACAAAAUCAGUGACAUCCGAGUAGCACUCAAUGAAACUGUUGUUGCUGCCAUUAAUUAAUUGUGAAGGACUAGCUUGAAGAAUAAAGAAGCUUGUUUUUGUGCAAUAACAUGAUUUCUAUGCCAAGCUAUUUAUAUUGCACUUAUCCAAGCUCAAAUUGUUAUAUUAGCGUACAUGAAGGGCAUGAUUGACCUCUUGGCAUGUUAGGUGAACCAGCAUGGUUCAUGUCCUUAAAUGUAUGUAUAUAUUAGCCGAAUGCAGAGCUGUUUAGAUUUGGGCCGAAAAAUAAAUAAACACUACCAUGAGCUCAAAAUUCUUUGCCGCUUGCUCACAUAAAGUUAGCUGUGUUGCAUUAUCUGUAAAUAAGAGUAGUACUGUUUUGACAAACAAAUAUGGUGACAGAAUUGCCAGAGAAUUUAAAAUAUUCUUUGUUUUAGAGUAGGACUCUAACGUAAAAAUAUUAUUACGCUCUUUUUCACAGACCACUAAAAACCAAAAAAGCCCUUAAAUCUAAAUGAGUUGUGCUUGGUGUAGAGAAAAAAAUGGCUAUUUAAUUACUAGAAAUAAAAAUUAAUUACUUACAGCAAACAAUGGCUAUUUAAGUUUCGAAAACUUUGUCAUCUAUCUCAAUGUAUGUUUUGUACUAAAAAAGCAUUUUUGGUACAACAAGAAUAGUACUAUUUGAAAAAAAUAUCGUGACAUUGAUCUUUAACCAAUUAAUUACUCAUUAAUAUGAUUAUUAAGCUUCAAGAAAAUUUAGAAAAUGUAUUUGUGGCAUGAUAUAUCAAGAAAUUUAUUGGCUAUUAAAUAUAUGUUAUUUAUCUCAUGAAAUUAUUAGUUAUGCGAAGGAUUUAAUUGAUUAAUUGCUUAAAUAAUGUCUCCAUCGAGAAAAAAAAUGGAAACAAAAUUGACUAAAAAAAUAAAAUAAAAAUAAAAAUAUCCUUUGUAUUAUUAUAAACAAGUGUGGCAAUAAAGUAAAAUACCAUUUCACUACAAAUAUCGCAUCAUGCUAGGCCACAUUAAUUUGUACACAUUCUUUUGCACCAAGUAUUUGUAGCAUAUCAUAUAUUCAAAAGAGAGAGAGAGUGUGUGUGUGUGUAUUCUCCAACUACUCUACUAUUAAUUGACAGAGUGUGUGUGUGUGUGUGUGUAUUCUCCAACUACUCUACUAUUAAUUGAUCACUCCUUAACCCCAAACCCAAGAAGGAAAGAUUUAGGAAAGCCGAUUGGCGACAUCAAACUAUUCAAUGACAAGUUCUUAUGAAGGAUGAAGUGAAACAAUAAAAGCCUAUUUAAUGAUAGGUCGGGCCUUUAGAAAGACUUUUUUGUACCAUCUUAAUCUUCUAGUUUUCACUUAAAAAAAAAAGUAAGACAAUAAAGUAACAAAAAGAAAUUACAUUAGAAAUUUCCUUUGUUUAUGAAAAGUACAAAUGCAUCAACGUAGCAUAAAUAGGCAUUAAUGAUGUUAACUAAUUGUAACAUCACCAAGUAUAAACCAUCCAUCUUGCAGAGCUAAGUCUCCAAGAAAAUAUGGCACCAACUAAUGGCUCUAUCCUCGCAACUGAGUCCUGGGAUAUUGCUGAUUUUGUUAUAAACAAAGGUCAUGGAGUGAAGGGUCUCUCUGAAAUGGGACUCAAAAGCCUCCAAAAACAAUUUCACCAACGCGUAGAAGAAAGAUUCAGUGAGAAGAAAAUCUUGGGUCAAGUAUCAAUUCCCCUCAUUGAUAAGUUAAAAUGAGAGAGUCCAGAAGUCUCAAAAUCCAUUUGCGAUGCCGCUGAGAGUUGGGGAUUUUUCCAGAUUGUGAAUCAUGGUGUGCCCCUGGAAGUACUCGACAAAAUAAAGGAAGUGUUUUAGACAGAUUUUGGGUGCAAAGGAAAAAGGAAAACAUAUCUAGAAUAAUAAAUUUAUUUUAUGGGGAAACCAGGGUACCUCACUAUAGGUCGUUGUGUGUAAUAUUUUUAAGAUCCGAAGGGAGGUAAGGAGAGUGGGGGGAUGGUGAUGACAGUGAGAGGUUGAAAUCUGGAGAUGAGGUCUCUUAGGGUGAGCUUUUAACUUGCAAAACAAUGAAAAUGAUGUUAGAUGUGAAGUCGAGGUGCCCUAGUGUUCACAUUCUGACACUCAAGUCAGCAACUCAAGCUUUCUUAUGGUAACGAGAGCUUGCUAGCUCUCUGAAAUCGUGGUUUAAAGUUGAGAACAGUUUUUAUUUCUCCAAAAAUCUAUUUUUAAAAAAAAGUAACUAACGCUCCAUUUCAUUUACCAAAUUUUCGAUGGACUCCAGACGGUAUUUCCUUAUCAAUAGCCACGAGUCAAAAUGAGCAGGCUAUAUAUGAGUAGCUUAUAAUGGACUUACAGAUUCUUCUACGUUUCAUCAUUUCCAGCUUCAUAACAAAAUAAUAAUAAUAAUGAUAAUAAAUAAAUAAAUAAAACAAUUGUUGCCGUCAAUGUAAUUUGUCGACAGUUAUUUAGUGUUAUGAAGCAAGUGCGUGAGAAAUGCCAGCACUUCACUUGCUACUUACCAGGAAAAUUGAUUCCAAUCGCAUGCUGUAGUUAGCAAUGAAACUGAAAACGAUGAAUGAGUCAAUAACUCAUAUUCAGUGUUUCCAAAGGUGACCGAGUUAAUUAUUACAUCAUUUAAGAAUCAACUUAAAUUUGCCUCUUGUUAUUAUUCGAAUUCUGGCGAUUGUGCCAACCAAGCUGACUAGGGGGGUAUUAUCACAUAUUUAGUACUUCAUAAGGAAUCCAUGUAAGUAAAAUACUGUAAUCAGACUUCAAUCAGACAUGUAGUUGAGACAUAUGUACUUUAAAUUGAUACAUCGGAUCCGUCCGCGUAGGCAUUAGGUUGAGCUUUGGCUCUUAGUUGGACAAUUUGUAAUUGUACUAUAUCUAUAAUGUAUAUAAUAUUCACAAAAGAGAACUGGAGUGGAGCUAUUUAGACCCCUCCAUUAAUAUCUUCAAACCCCAAUUAUUAUUUUUAUUUUUACUAAAAUUUUACUGUUAACCAAAAUUACUGAAAUGGGAAUCAAAAUGCUUUACAAUUUCUAGACAUUCAUCCUCAACUCAAAAUACCAGCAGCCUCUACCCUUUCUGUUGCUUUUGAUUUGAUUUGAUCAACUAUUCAACUUUCAAAUUCUUCUCCACCAAUUUCUACAGCUAUUUCCCAAGUCCCUUCCGAAAANNNNNNNNNNNNNNNNNNNNNNNNNNNNNNNNNNNNNNNNNNNNNNNNNNNNNNNNNNNNNNNNNNNNNNNNNNNNNNNNNNNNNNNNNNNNNNNNNNNNNNNNNNNNNNNNNNNNNNNNNNNNNNNNNNNNNNNNNNNNNNNNNNNNNNNNNNNNNNNNNNNNNNNNNNNNNNNNNNNNNNNNNNNNNNNNNNNNNNNNNNNNNNNNNNNNNNNNNNNNNNNNNNNNNNNNNNNNNNNNNNNNNNNNNNNNNNNNNNNNNNNNNNNNNNNNNNNNNNNNNNNNNNNNNNNNNNNNNNNNNNNNNNNNNNNNNNNNNNNNNNNNNNNNNNNNNNNNNNNNNNNNNNNNNNNNNNNNNNNNNNNNNNNNNNNNNNNNNNNNNNNNNNNNNNNNNNNNNNNNNNNNNNNNNNNNNNNNNNNNNNNNNNNNNNNNNNNNNNNNNNNNNNNNNNNNNNNNNNNNNNNNNNNNNNNNNNNNNNNNNNNNNNNNNNNNNNNNNNNNNNNNNNNNNNNNNNNNNNNNNNNNNNNNNNNNNNNNNNNNNNNNNNNNNNNNNNNNNNNNNNNNNNNNNNNNNNNNNNNNNNNNNNNNNNNNNNNNNNNNNNNNNNNNNNNNNNNNNNNNNNNNNNNNNNNNNNNNNNNNNNNNNNNNNNNNNNNNNNNNNNNNNNNNNNNNNNNNNNNNNNNNNNNNNNNNNNNNNNNNNNNNNNNNNNNNNNNNNNNNNNNNNNNNNNNNNNNNNNNNNNNNNNNNNNNNNNNNNNNNNNNNNNNNNNNNNNNNNNNNNNNNNNNNNNNNNNNNNNNNNNNNNNNNNNNNNNNNNNNNNNNNNNNNNNNNNNNNNNNNNNNNNNNNNNNNNNNNNNNNNNNNNNNNNNNNNNNNNNNNNNNNNNNNNNNNNNNNNNNNNNNNNNNNNNNNNNNNNNNNNNNNNNNNNNNNNNNNNNNNNNNNNNNNNNNNNNNNNNNNNNNNNNNNNNNNNNNNNNNNNNNNNNNNNNNNNNNNNNNNNNNNNNNNNNNNNNNNNNNNNNNNNNNNNNNNNNNNNNNNNNNNNNNNNNNNNNNNNNNNNNNNNNNNNNNNNNNNNNNNNNNNNNNNNNNNNNNNNNNNNNNNNNNNNNNNNNNNNNNNNNNNNNNNNNNNNNNNNNNNNNNNNNNNNNNNNNNNNNNNNNNNNNNNNNNNNNNNNNNNNNNNNNNNNNNNNNNNNNNNNNNNNNNNNNNNNNNNNNNNNNNNNNNNNNNNNNNNNNNNNNNNNNNNNNNNNNNNNNNNNNNNNNNNNNNNNNNNNNNNNNNNNNNNNNNNNNNNNNNNNNNNNNNNNNNNNNNNNNNNNNNNNNNNNNNNNNNNNNNNNNNNNNNNNNNNNNNNNNNNNNNNNNNNNNNNNNNNNNNNNNNNNNNNNNNNNNNNNNNNNNNNNNNNNNNNNNNNNNNNNNNNNNNNNNNNNNNNNNNNNNNNNNNNNNNNNNNNNNNNNNNNNNNNNNNNNNNNNNNNNNNNNNNNNNNNNNNNNNNNNNNNNNNNNNNNNNNNNNNNNNNNNNNNGUAGAAAGUCACGUAAGUACUACGCUUUUUUCAGAAAGUCACCUAAGUACUACCAUUUUUUUUUUGUAUGAAGUCACUCAAGUACUACUUUUUUCUUUUUUUUUGUUUCCCAGGGAAUCAGUUAAGUUCUUGUUUUAGAAGGUCCUACCAAACACCUCUUUGAGUUUUGAUCAAUUCAAUUAUUGAGAACAAUUUUUAUUUCUCCAAAAAUCUAUUAAAAAAAAAGUACCUAACGCUCCAUUUCAUUUACCAAAUUUUCGAUGGACUCCAAACAGUGUUUCCUUAUCAAUAGCCACGAGUCAAAAUGAGCAGGCUAUAUAUGAGUAGCUUAUAAUGGACUUACAGAUUCUUCUACGUUUCAUCAUUUCCAGCUUCAUAUAUAACAAAAUAAUAAUAAUAAUGAUAAUAAAUAAAACAAUUGUUGCCGUCAAUUUAAUUUGUCAAAAGUGAUUUAGUGUUAUGAAGCAAGUGCGUGAGAAAUGCUACAGUACUUCACUUGCUACUUAAUAGGAAAAUUGAUUCCAAUCGCAUGCUGUAGUUAGCAAUGAAACUGAAAGCGAUGAUUGAGUCAAUAACUCAUAUUCAGUGUUUCCAAAGGUGACCGAGUUAAUUAUUACAUCAUUUAAGAAUCAACUUAAAUUUGCCUCUUAUUAUUAUUCGAAUUCAGGCGAUUGUGCCAACCAAGCUGACUUGGGGGUAUUAUAGAAUAUUUAGUACUUCAUAUGGAAUCCAUGUAAGUAAAAUACUGCUUAAUCCAUGUAAUUAAAAUACAGUUUUCUCAAAUGCUUUCAUUUUACAAAGAGUAACAAUCUAAUAAUUAUAAUCAGACUUCAAUCAAACAUAUUGUUGAGACAUAUGUAUUUUAAAUUGAUACAUCGGAUCCGUCCGCGUAGGCAUUAGGUUGAGCUUUGGCUCUUAGUUGGACAAUUUGUAAUUGUACUAUAUCUACAAUGUAAUAUUCACAAAAGAGAACUGGAGUGGAGCUAUUUAGACCCCUCCAUUAAUAUCUUCAAACCCCAAUUAUUAUUUUUAUUUUUACUACAAUUUCACUGUUAACCAAAAUUACUGAAAUGGGAAUCAAAAUGCUUUACAAUUUCUGGACAAUCAUCCUCAACUCAAAAUACGAGCAGCCUCUACCCUCUCUGUUGCUUUUGAUUUGAUCAACUAUUCAACUUUCAAAUUCUUCUCCACCAAUUUCUACAGCUAUUUCCCAAGUCCCUUCCGAAAACGAUCUUCGAAGAAAAAUGAAAUUCGUAAAAACAAGAAGUCACUUUUAUUGUUUAUUCAUUGGUAUCAAAGUAACAAUACGUUGAGAAGAAACUUCUCUUAUCUUCUACAUAAAUUACUCUAUAUAGGGUGUGUUGGAGAAUUAACAAAUAAAACACACAAAAAACACACUAGCCCUUCCGAAAAGAUCUUCGAAGAAAACUGAAAUUCGUAAAAACAAGUAGUCUCUUUUAUUGUUUAUUCAUUGGUAUCAAAGUAACAAUACGUUGAGAAGAAACUUCUCUUAUCUUCUACAUAAAUUACGCUCUACAGGGUGUUUCUUAACUUGUUAUUUGUUCUGACCUAGAAGAAAAACAAAGGUUCUUAAGGCCAUUUGGAGAAAUGCAGCUUGUUAUCAACAAUUAAUGAUCAAAGGCAAUAAAAUCUGGAGAGUUUUGAUGUCCAUUUUAGUAGUUUUUGUUAAAAACAAAUUGUAAUUAAUCUGAAAAUACUAACCGGGGCUUUCUGAGAUUUAUUGAAAGCCGAAUGCAGAGCUGUUUAGAUUUGGGCCGAAAAAUAAAUAAACACUACCAUGAGCUCAAAAUUCUUUGCCGCUUGCUCACAUAAAGUUAGCUGUGUUGCAUUAUCUGUAAAUAAGAGUAGUACUGUUUUGACAAACAAAUAUGGUGACAGAAUUGCCAGAGAAUUUAAAAUAUUCUUUGUUUUAGAGUAGGACUCUAAAGUAAAAAUAUUAUUACGCUAUUUUUCACAGACCACUAAAAACCAAAAAAGCCCUUAAAUCUAAAUGAGUUGUGCUUGGUGUAGAGAAAAAAAUGGCUAUUUAAUUACUGGCAAUAAAAAUUAGGGAAAUUUACAAUCUGGAGAGUGGGGGGAUGGUGAUGACAAUGAGAGGUUGAAAUCUGGAGAUGAGGUCUCUUAAGGUGAGCUUUUAACUUGCAAAACAAUGAAAAUGAGGUUAGAUGUGAAGUCGAGGUGCCCUAGUGUUCACAUUCUGACACUCAAGUCAGCAACUCAAGCUUUCUUGUGGUAACGAGAGCUUGCUAGCUCUCUGAAAUCGUGGUUUAAAGUUGAAGAAGGUUUUUUGUGGAGUGUGUGUGAUCAUGAAUGAUGAAAAUAAACCUGGAUGCCUUUAUAUAUGUAGUACCUCGGCUGUUACGUUGCGUAUUUCUAAUGGUUUUUGGUUUUCCUUUUACUUUUUUAUGAUUUUAGGCCAUUUGGGAGCAUGCUUGAAACACAAGAAGGCGUUUCACGACGUAUUUAUCCCUUUAGAUACGUGGCAUAUGCUGGAGAGUGGUCCAAGGUACUUUAAUAGAGGUUUUUUGGUAAGGCGGCUGAGGACCACUGUCCUAGGGGCAACGUGCUUCACUUUUUUACAGUGGUGACAGUUGGUUGUCACCACUUUUUCGACAUGAUAUUUUGAUAUAUGAUUUUCACAAAUCGAAUAUUAUCUUUUAGGCAAUGAAGACGUUUCUCGUGACCAACUUUUUAGAUACUUUUCCUUGAUUAUUUCGCUUAUGUUCUGUUGGGUACCCCGGGUACCAAGUUUUGGGGGGUAGGUCGGAUACCCCGGGUACUGAGUUAUAGGGGGUAGGUAGGGUAUCUCAGGUACCGAGUUUUGUGGGAUAGGCCGGGUACCUUGGGUACCGAGUUUUGAGGGGUAGGUCGGGUACCCCGGAUACCAAGUUAUAGGGAGUAGGUCGGAUACCCCAGAGGUGUACAAUGAUCGUCAUGGUGCCUCAUCGACAUGUGGUGUUCUACUACUAUCUUUUCUGUUUCUUCCCAAACAGAAAUCAACUCACAGGUUUUUUGUGUAACCAGCAGAGGAGAAGAGGAAGUACUCAAAGGAGAAUUCACCAACCAAUAAUGCCAGGUUCGGCUCAAGCUUUGUUCUUCAUGCGGAAAGGGCUCUAGAAUGGAAAGACUUUCUGAGCAUGUUUUAUGUUUCUGAGGAAGAAAUUGCUGCUUUUUGGCCUUCUGUUUGCAAGCAAGUGCCAAUAAAUACAUGAAUACUUUAAAUGUAUUGUUUGAAAUUGAAGUUGGCAACUAUAGCUUAUAAGUUAUAACAUUAAAGUACUUGGUAAAAAACAAUUGUUAUAACUUGGAAGCUAAAUUAAUUUCAUCCACCACUUAUAUGAUGAAGAACUUAUAAUAUAUUCAUUAUUUUUGUCAAACUUAUUGCUUAAAAGUCAUAUUUACUAACCACUGACUUUUGUUUACUGUUUUUUUUUAAACAACAAACUAUAACUUUUAAGUUACAGUAACCAUUAACUUUUAUUUACUGUUUUUUUUUAAAACAACAAACUAUACCUUUUAAGUUACACCACUUGAAAGCCAAACAGGGCCUAAGAUUGUGGACUAAACGUUACGAUUUUGUGUUUUUUCUUUGGGCUUGUAGGGAUGAAAUGCUAGAGUACACGAAGAGUUCUGAAGUUCUCAUCAAACGUUUAAUGCUGUGCUAGUCAAGGGCCUAAACGUCAAAAGAAUUGAUGAAAUAAGAGCCCUUAUGUUGUUGGGUUCAAGAAGAGUCAACCUCAACUACUAUCCUAUGUGUCCGAAUCCUGAACAUACAGUGGGAGUAGGCCGUCAUUCAGAUAUUUCAACAUUCACUAUCCUCCUCCAGGAUGACAUCGGGGGACUUCACGUGCGAAAAGAUAAUGGUAAUGGCUGGAUUCAUGUCUCUCUAAUUAGCAGAUCAUUCAUUAUCAACAUUUGGGAUCCAUUGCAAAUCAUAAGCAAAGGUCGACACAAGAGUAUUGAGUACUGUGUGAUUGCCAAUGGAAGCCAGAACAUGAUUUUGGUCCUCCUUUUCGUGAACCCGAAACCUGAAGGCAUACUCUGUCCUUUUCCUGAAGUGCUUGCAAAUGGAAAGAAGCCAUUGUAUAAGCCAGUUCUGUGAGCAGACUAUUCUAGGCAUUUCUAUACCAAGGCACAUGUUGGGAAUAAAACUAUCGACUUUGCAAAGAUAAGCAACGUUUGCGAUGAAAAUAUGUGAAUGCCUAGCCAAUUGUUAUCUUGAUAAAAAUAAAGAGCAAGGUCUUGAAGUUUGAUUUCCAAGACUAAUGCUGAGACCAGUUCUUCACUCCUGGAUAUCAAAAUAUAUGCGUUGUUUAAGGGUUUUACUCAUGUUGCAACACUCUAUUUACUGAAUUCAAUUUGUCAUCCAGGUUCGGCUCAAGCUUUGUUCUUCAUGCGGAAAGGGCUCUAGAAUGGAAAGACUUUCUGAGCAUGUUUUAUGUUUCUGAGGAAGAAAUUGCUGCUUUUUGGCCUUCUGUUUGCAAGCAAGUGCCAAUAAAUACAUGAAUACUUUAAAUGUAUUGUUUGAAAUUGAAGUUGGCAACUAUAGCUUAUAAGUUAUAACAUUAAAGUACUUGGUAAAAAACAAUUGUUAUAACUUGGAAGCUAAAUUAAUUUCAUCCACCACUUAUAUGAUGAAGAACUUAUAAUAUAUUCAUUAUUUUUGUCAAACUUAUUGCUUAAAAGUCAUAUUUACUAACCACUGACUUUUGUUUACUGUUUUUUUUUAAACAACAAACUAUAACUUUUAAGUUACAGUAACCAUUAACUUUUAUUUACUGUUUUUUUUUAAAACAACAAACUAUACCUUUUAAGUUACACCACUUGAAAGCCAAACAGGGCCUAAGAUUGUGGACUAAACGUUACGAUUUUGUGUUUUUUCUUUGGGCUUGUAGGGAUGAAAUGCUAGAGUACACGAAGAGUUCUGAAGUUCUCAUCAAACGUUUAAUGCUGUGCUAGUCAAGGGCCUAAACGUCAAAAGAAUUGAUGAAAUAAGAGCCCUUAUGUUGUUGGGUUCAAGAAGAGUCAACCUCAACUACUAUCCUAUGUGUCCGAAUCCUGAACAUACAGUGGGAGUAGGCCGUCAUUCAGAUAUUUCAACAUUCACUAUCCUCCUCCAGGAUGACAUCGGGGGACUUCACGUGCGAAAAGAUAAUGGUAAUGGCUGGAUUCAUGUCUCUCUAAUUAGCAGAUCAUUCAUUAUCAACAUUUGGGAUCCAUUGCAAAUCAUAAGCAAAGGUCGACACAAGAGUAUUGAGUACUGUGUGAUUGCCAAUGGAAGCCAGAACAUGAUUUUGGUCCUCCUUUUCGUGAACCCGAAACCUGAAGGCAUACUCUGUCCUUUUCCUGAAGUGCUUGCAAAUGGAAAGAAGCCAUUGUAUAAGCCAGUUCUGUGAGCAGACUAUUCUAGGCAUUUCUAUACCAAGGCACAUGUUGGGAAUAAAACUAUCGACUUUGCAAAGAUAAGCAACGUUUGCGAUGAAAAUAUGUGAAUGCCUAGCCAAUUGUUAUCUUGAUAAAAAUAAAGAGCAAGGUCUUGAAGUUUGAUUUCCAAGACUAAUGCUGAGACCAGUUCUUCACUCCUGGAUAUCAAAAUAUAUGCGUUGUUUAAGGGUUUUACUCAUGUUGCAACACUCUAUUUACUGAAUUCAAUUUGUCAUUUCAAUAAAUUGAAUUUGUCUUUAUUCACAUUGUUUUCCUAGCCAGUUUAGUAUUUCUUGUUUACGUCAUAUUUAUCAUCCUUAUCUGUUUUCCAGAGCCAAUAUAAAGGCAUCUGCAUUGUACAAUUUUAUGACUCACAUAAACUGUAGGACUUAAGGUGCUAUAAACAAAUCAAACAACCUCAGAUCCUGCCCAAGAUCACCAACCAAAUUUACCAAGAUGCUUCAAGAUUGAUGACUGAAGAAUUUGACUAAGUUUAAUCAAUGGAAUGUGACGACUAACCAACCAGAAUCAAAGAAAAAAAAAGAUAUAGAAUGAACAAAGAACAAGAGUUUAAUAAUGCUAAUUAUUAAAUUUUAUUUAGCUAAGGAUGAAAAUUAAUUAAUUAGAUAGGCAUAUUUUGGAAAAUAUCUUUUAAUGAUAGCAUUCAAACUUUUUAGAUUAAGUAAAAAGCUAAAAAAAUUAACUUAAUGACUUAAUUGGUGAUAAUCUUCAUUAAGUUAAAAAACAAAAGCAGACUUAGGUUGUGUUUGUUUUUUUAUCUAAAAUCUGAAUAGGUCUGAAUUUAGUUGAAGUAUGAAGAGAUCUGAAUAAAAAUGUUUGCAUGACAUAUUUAUUUUUUUUCUUUUUCAACAUCUGAAGAGAAAAACUUAAAAGCUAGUGGUUUGACAUAAAUAUCCUUUUAAGUAGUGCAUAUAUUUGUUCUUCACAAUUUAUAAUUUUCACAGGUUGAUUAGUUUGGUAGCAUUAAAAAAAAUAUUAUCAUUGUUGAUCUUAGUUUAAAUUUUUAAUAAAAGAUGUAAUUAUAACAUCAAAUUUUAUUAUAAAGUCAACACUAUUAUUUUAUUUUUGAUUCAUUAGAAUGGACAUAAUUUGAUUUGUUCAAUAUUUCAGUUUAAUUAAUGCUAUCAUGUGAAUAAAAAUUUAACGUAAUUAAAAAAAUAACUUCAAGAAUAAUACAAAAAUAUUAGGUUUAUAUACAUAAUAUUAGAAAUGCAUGAAUUGUUAAGGGUAUUUUUGAGAUUUGAAAUUAAAAUUUUCCAUUUAAACUUCAGACUUCAGAUAAAAGUGGAUUUUUUCUAUUUUUUUCUUUUCAACUAAAAUUGUCUGAUAAUAAGUGAUAAGUUAAAAAAACAAACAACUUAAAAUAAAUAAAUGUCUAAAAAAAAGUUAAAUUCAAACUUUAGACUAAAAAACAAACAGCAUCUUAAUAACUUAACUGGUUGAAAUUAAAUCAAUUAAAUCAUUAAGUUAAAACAAACAAACAGCCCCUAACUCUUUUCAAAAUGAAAUUUUCUCAUAAUAGAAUAAUUUUCUUUCUAUGACAAUGAAUUUAAUAAUUUUCUAGUAAGUUGUCACCAUUACUUGUCCGUAGGAAUGGCAACAUGCAUCAAAUAUUUGGUGAGAAAAUCCAAUAAUAUUUCCUUUUUCGUAUAUUCAUUCUCAGGUAUUUCAGUGCAACUUGUUAAGCACGACACGAUGAAAUAGACGUACUCUCACUGAAUUACGACAUAAAAUUGAAUGGUGUCAUGAGUGAAAGUGCAACUGUUUAAAGCCACCGAGAUUGAAUAGGACUCCUAUUUGAUCUUUUGAAUGUUGAAAUUUCUCACCAUCUCUAUGACAAGAGCACAAUUUUCUUUCUAUAACCAUUCAAAUGCAGGGAAUGCAAUCAGUAUCAAAUAUUUGCUAAGAAAAUUCAAUAUCGUUUCCUUCUUUCUCAUAUUUAUUCCCAGUAAAGGUCUUUCAGGUCAACGUACGUAGUCAGAGUUUAUGGCUGAGAUAGAGAUGCGCAUAGAAACUUAGCCAAAAAUUAACACACGUCGAUAUCAACAGUGAUGAGUCUAAUUGGGCUUCUUGUUUUAUCCUCAUAAAAAUCUCAAGUGCUCUCAUUGUAUAACAUCAUCCUAUUAAUUCAUUACAUCCAUAUUAUGUGUGCCUAUCAAUUAAAUGCCAAAAAAUAGAUACAUAAGAAGAGCUUUAUGUAAUACAAGAUCGGACCACAUUGAGCCUUUUUUUUUACCAUAUUUGGCAUUUUGAUGAGUUUUGAAAUACUAGGGAGAAAUGAUUAAUUUUAACAAAUGAGAUGCUACUUUUAAUCAUUCUUUGUACGAAAAAACAUUAAGGAAAAAAAUUCUAGUAUAUAAGAAUCAUUUAUUUAAGAGAGAUUGUCAAUUUUCUCCUAUUGAAAUUAUUAUAUACCAAUUACCCUUUUAUUGUUUUCAUAAUAGCCAAUAACAUUCCUAACAGCAUAAUUUUAUAUUAUUACCCAUAUUUUAAAAUAUAUUUUUAUUCAUAUUUAUUAUAAAUUAAAUAUAUAAAUAAAAUGAAGUACUAAAAAUGAGAAAUAUAUAUUUUGGUAAGAAUAAAAAAUUAAUAAUAAGGUAUUUUUCUUUUAGUUUUUGUUAUUUUUGAACAUUUUUCUUAUAAUAAAUAUAUUUUCAUAUUUCCAAGAUAAUUUAUCAAGUAAAUGACCCAUUUACCCCUCUUUUCGUUUAAAUUUUUUGUGGCAAUAAGGUUUUUAGAUGUUAUGAAAAUAAUAAGGGUUAAGUAGUACAUAUUGACUUCAGUAAGGAGAAAUUAACAAUUUCCCUUUAUUUUAUGAUCCUAAUUAAAGAUUCUUCUCAACAAUGACCAUUAUGAAUCAUUAUCAAAUUAAAUAUAUCAUGCAUAAAUUAUAGGAAUCAUUGCCAUUGUAACUUAUAAAUAUUUCAAUUGUUGCUUGCUUUUAUUAUACUAAAAUGUCAGCAUCCCUAACAUUACCCUUCAUGAUAUAUAAAUAUAUAUGGAAGAAAAUUCUGAAUUAUAAUGAUUAUGAAAUUAAUAAGAGUGAAUUCAAUAUUUUUCUCCUCCUUAGGGACGGGAAAAUGCAGGCUUGGGCCAAGCUUUAUGAAAUACUAAGAACACUCAAUCAGUCAAAACAUAACCUUUAAAAAUUUAGAAAAAGAAACUUCUACGAUGUAACUUAUUAAAUCUAAAAAAUAAUCUUGAAAAAUUUUUAACACCCAUUUUAUUAUUCUUCUUCUUCUCUCUUAAUUUUCUUUCUUGUUAUUUCAUAUGAGAGACUACAGGUUUAAAAUGUAUAUCCUUUUUAAGAAUGUUUACCACUUUUUCUUUUAUUGAAUUAUAAUUUGUUGUGAUUUCAAUUUUUAGUAUGUAUUGCCUACUAUUUAUCGUUGAGCUAUAGUUACAUAAAUAUGAUUUUCCAUUAAUUUGAUUUCUAAUAUGUUAAUAAAAUAUAUUUGACGAAAAUAAGAUUAGACUGAGGAUCUGUGGACCCAUGACAAAAAAUUUUCUAUGAAUUCUUUGGAUUUUGAAAAUCCACCAAUGAAGAAUUCAUUUAAAAUUUAAAGAAGAAGAAGAAGAAGAAGAUAAUGAUAAUGAUUUAGGGUUUUAUAACUCAUGUUUGGCGUUAAAUUCAACUGGUGUGGUAUUGCAUUAACUUGGGAAACUAAUGCGGUCAGAUCUGCAUAAACCAACCUCGUGGGGGGGGAGGGCGGUUCGGGUUUACACCGCAUCAUAUUAGAGCAAAUUAAGAAAAUAAAAUUGAGAAAAUUUUACAGCAUGUUUGCGAUGAAAUUCAUAUCACCCAAUCUAGCACCACCAAAUCGACUUGGCAAUCAUCGCUCGAUGCCAUCACCGACGCUUUUGCGACACCAUAGCCAUUGCUCCAUGAAGACACCUUCACUGUGGAGAAGAUAAAGCCCAGAGAAGAAGAAGAAAGAAGGAGAAAAAGAGGAAAAGAAAAAGGGAAAACAAAUUGAAGAAGAAAAAGAAAAUAGAAGAAAAGGAGGAAAAAAAAGAAAAUGAAAUGAAGACAAAGAUAAAGCCCAGAGAAGAAGAAGAAAGGAGAAAAAGAGGAAAAGAAAAAAGGAAAAUAAAUUGAAGAAGACAAAGAAAAUAGAAGAAAAGGAGGAAAAAAAGAAAAUGUAUGAAGACGAAGAAAGAGAAAAAGAGAACAAAAAUGAACGAAGAAGAAAAAGAUUUGCAGAAGACAAAGGGAGGAGAAAGAGGAAGCAGAUAAUGAUUCAUUGAAAAGCAUUAUCUAAAGAAAAAAAAUAAAAAAAGGAGAGAGAGGAAAUUAAAAUAAAUAAAUAAAAUAUGUUUUUUAAUAAAUAGGUUAUAUAUUUAUGAAUUAUUGAAAAAAUAAAUUUUUUAUCAUUGUAAAUCUUAGAAUUUGUUAGUUUUACAUAAAGAAUUAUGAUUCUUUUAUUUAAACAAAAAAAUUGAUGUAAAAAUUCUUAAAUUUAACGCUUCUAUAUUUAGUAUUUUUCUAAGUACUAGUAGAUAUUAUUUUCUAAAUAUAUAAUUAAAAUUAAUCACCAAAAGAAAUUAAUACAGUACAAUACAACACCAAACAUAGUAUAACUAAAAAUUAAUACAGUACAGUGUAGCACCAAACAUUAUACAGUAUUAUUAUAAUACAGUGCUAAUGCAAUACAGCAUAAUACAAUACACCAACAUUAAAAUAAUGCAAUAUAGCAUAAUACAAUACGUGUACCAAACACACCCUAGAAGCGCAAGUUUCACACGUCAGAUGCUAGUAUUGAUAGCUUUCUUUUUCCUUUUGAUGGUUUUACUCUUCUCUUUUUAUUCUUGUGUAAUUAUAUUUAUUUAAGGAGGUCCUAGUUUAUGUCCCCCUCCUUAUGUAUUUGCUUCAUUACUGAUUUAUAGUACAGAUAGGGGUCCUGCCUAACUCCUCAUCUUUGAUGGUAAAAAAAGAAAAACAAAGAAUAUUUGUUUUAAGUUAAAUUAUUCUAUCCUUAAUAGUAAUUUCAUAUUAAUUUACAAAUUAAUUAACUAGAAAGUCUUGAGGUACUUUUAUUUAUUUUUAUAUAGUUUUCAGCAAUUUAUAUCAUCCAUCAGAUUAGUUUUUUCCUUUUUAUUGGCCACCCGAGUUUAAAUUAUGGGAGGAGUUUUAGUUAAAAAAUUAAUUAGAGUUUGGCCAACCUCAAUAGAAAGAGAAAUAGGAGUUAUUUUAGGGAGAGAUAAGAAAUAUCAAUCCAAGAGACAGCAAAAGCAAAUAUUGAUAAAGAUCAUAUAGAAAUUUUAUUCCAAGUUGUACAUAAGGUAAUGGGAAAUUGAAAUACAAACUCUUUAUUGAUCACAGUAGUGAUAUAGGAAUCAAGAUCUAGGCUUUCUCCCCUGAAAUUAGCAGCACUCAUUUUUUACCCGAAGUUGACAAUAUAUAUGUUUAUUAGCAGAACGAGCAGAAAAUUCUUAGAAAAUGCUUAGCUUAGCAAAAUCAACUGUUUUCUUCCCAUCAUGAGCUUUUCUGAAGAAAUGCUUCACAUAAUCCUUGUAUAAAACUUGCUUAUAAACUGGCUUCUCCCCACUUGCAAGCACUUCUGGAAAAGGACCUAUUGUAUCUUGAGGUCUCGGGUUGAUGAAAAUGGGAACCGAAAUCCUGUUGCUGCUUCCAUUUGCUAUCACGCAAUGUUCAACACUCCUGUAUUUACCAUUGCUCAUUAUUUGUAAUGCAUCACCAAUGUUGAUCACAAGGGAUCCACUAAUAGGAGGGACGUGAAUCCAGCUUUCGCCAUCAUUUCCACGCACGUAGAGACCUCCGAUAUCAUCCUGAAGGAGGAUGGUGAGUGUUGAAACAUCUGAAUGGCGGCCUACUCCAACUGUGAGUUCAGGAUUUGGACAAAUUGGAUAGUAGUUGAGAUUAGUUCUCACUGAACCCAUCAAGAGAGCUUCUUUUGCUUCAUCAGUUCCCUCCACUUUAAGCCCCUUCAUCAACACUUUCAACAGCUGUUUGAUAAGGACUUCAGAGCUCUUCGUGUAUUCCAACACUUCAUCCCUACAAGCAAAAAAAGUCAAUUAACUCCAUGUCUAUGUCCAUGCUAGAUAUAUUAUUAAUUAGAACCUCGAUUGUCUCCUCAUGUGAGUUUUAACCUGAGCAGGUAUUGGUGGCAAUUGAUUCUUCAAAAGAGAGAAAUAACAAAAACAAAUAGAUUUUGACUAGACAUGGACAACAACAAAUAUGUGUUAAUUAAAAGAUCUUCUAAUAAGUUAGGUAAGCUCAGAUCAUGGGAGAAGAAUAUUAAUUCUUCGAGUGUAAGCGCAUGUUUUAGUAAAUUUAAAUGGAUAAAGAGUUCAGUUUCCUUACUUGCAUGCAGGAGGCCACAAAGCAGAAGCUUCAUCAUCAGAAACAUAAAACAAGCUAAGAUAAUCCUUCCACUCAAGAGCCUUUUCAGCCUGAGUGUUAAAGCUUGUGCCAAACCUCACAUUGUUAGAAGGCGAAAGCUCCUUAGAAUACUUGUUCUUCUCCGCUGCUGACAACCCAAAAAACCGGUGAGUCGCCGCCUUGACUCUGUCGAGUACUUGAAGGGGAACACGGUGGUUCACAACCUGAAAGAAUCCCCACAUCUCAGCAGCAUCACAGAUGGAUUUUGCAACUUCAGGAUCAUCCCACUUUGACAUAUCAAUAAUAGGAAUGGACUCAUGGGGUACAAUUUUUUUCUCACUGAAUCUUUCUUCCAAGGGUUGGAUAUACUGCUUAGGGAGGGCUUUGAGUCCCAUUUCAGAGAGGCCCUUCACUCCAUUUCCUUGGUUUACGACAAAAUCAGUGACAUCCGAGAAGUCACUCAAUAAAACUGUUGUUGGUGCCAUUAAUUAAUUGUGAAGGACUAGCUUGAAGAAUAAAGAAGCUCGUUUUUGUGCAAUAACAUGAUUUCUAUGCCAAGCUAUUUAUAUUGCACUUAUCCAAGCUCAAAUUGUUUUAUUAGCGUACAUGAAGGGCAUUAUUGACCUCUUGGCAUGUUAGGUGAACCAGCAUGGUUCAUGUCCUUAAAUGUAUGUAUAUAUUAGCCUAUAUAAUCCAGUGUUAUAAAAUAAUAAUGAUAAUAAAUUUUAAAAAGAAAAUCCAGUGUCAUAAACAAUAUUCCUGAUCGAUGAAUAUGUGAGCUUCGUGCAUGUUAUUAGCAUAAAAUUAUUGAACAUAGAACCAAAAAUUUUAUGACUGCAAGUAGACAAAACUAACCAAAGUUUUGCCACAUUUUUGUUGUAUAUUAUUUUAUGCGUUAUCAUCAAUAAAAUAGAAGCAGCAUGUGUCAUGAUCAUCAAUAAAAUCCUUAAAUCCAGGGAAAUUAAACAAAACCCCCUCCUUUGGUGAAAUUAACCAUUUUCCUCAAUUUUUAAAACUCACCAAAACUCCUUUGACUAUAAAUUCUUUUUUUUUUUUUCAAUUUUUAAAAAAUAGAAAAGUCAACAAAGCCUAAAUUGAUUAUUUAGUCCUUUAUAUCCCAAAAUCUGAAUACAAGUGCCCAACCGAAAAAGACAAUUACUUUAAAACCAUUAAGUCGCCGCUGGAGAAGCCCCCAAGAUCAUGUCGCAAAACGGAGACUCUUCUGGGAGGACUAUUUGGUCUUUUACUAGUACACCAACCUAACAGUAGAAAAUGAAAGGGCUUUAAACUAUUAAUAUAUCGUGCAUCAAGAAAUAUCAAACUCAAAAAAUGUGUAAAGAAACAGGGCAAAACCCUACAGAAAUCUGGAAUUACCAAUUACAAUAGAAUUACCAGGGAAGCAUGCAUAAGCAAAGAAAAUGAUGUCCAUAGGCUAAAACGCAUUUUCCUUGUUUUGAAGUACACAUAAUGUGAUACAAACUCUUAAAAUAAUUAAAAUUAUUUUAUUUAUUUAAUUAUAUGUUAUUAGUUAAUUUUGAAAUAGUCAAAAGUAGUCGCACUUAUUUUAUGGAACUACAUGUAAGUAGUGGAGUAUUAUGUGAGAACAUGCUUAGUGUUACUAAUUUUUAAGUUGUAAUCUUAAAUAAGCUUUUAUUAUAUAAAACUUGAUGUCAUUCAAUAAAAAGUAUCAUUAAGUUUAUUAUUUUGGCAACAUCAAAGUUGCAAUUGGGAGUUUAUUAGUUUCUUGAAUAACCAAUACUUAUUUGGAAGUUUGGUUUUCCUCGAAUUAACCCCAUUUGUCAUCUAAUUUUUCUCUUUCAUUUAGUAUCAGAGUGUGGUAAUAAAUAAAGAGUAAAUCUUUACAAUGGAGCAGAGACUUGAGAGCAUUCAAAAGAUGAUGGAGGCUAUGAUUCUUGAGCAGGAGGAACUUACAAAGAAAUUAUUGUGCAAAGUGGAUGAAAUAUCAAGAACAUGGGAUGCAAGGUUGAACUCAUGUGGCCACCAUAUCAAACAUGUGAACGAAAAGUCUACGUUUUGGUUGAAGUUCAACGUCUCCAACAAAGUGACAAUUUGGAAAUUGCAAUGCAUGAUCGAGGUGUUAAACAAUGCAGCAAGGUAGUGGCAUCAUUGAAGAAAAUUCCACAAAUCAACGUUCAAAAGGUUAGAGUUUUCUGUUACGAGUCAAAGGUGCAGAGUGUUUAUUUUAAGGACAAAUCCAAAUUGCCUAGCCACCAUAAUGAGAAAUUGUUCUUCGGUAAAGUGCCAAAAAUUGAGAUGAAGAACAUGGUCGUGGGAUCAAUGAAGAAUUUGCAAAAGAGCUUCAAGUCAUCAUUAUAUCUAAUUAUAAAUUGGAAACAGAAGAAAAAGUAAAUUAUUUCAGAAAAAUCUACCCUUGAGGAUAAGGGUAUUUUCAAGGGGGAAGGAAUGAUACAAACUCUUAAAAUAAUUAAAAUUAUUUAAUUUUAUGUUAUUAGUUAAUUUUGAACUAGUCAAAAGUAAUUACACUUUGUAGAACUACAUGUAAGUAGUGGAGCAUUAUGUGAAAACAUGCUUAGUAUUACUAAUUCUUAAGUUGUAAUCUUAAAUAAACUUUAUUAUAUAAAACUUGAUGUUAUUCAAUAACAAGUAUCAUAAGUUCAUUAUUUUGGCAACGUAAAAAUUGUAAUUGAAAGUUUAUUGGUUUCUUAAAUAACCAAUACUUAUUUGGAAGUUUGGAUUUUCUCGAAUUAACUGAGUUUCCUCGAAUUAAUCCCAUUUGUCAUCUAAUUUUUCUGUUUUAUUUGAUUUCUCCUCCUAAACAUUAUUGUCCAUAUCACAAUGAAAUUCAGAUCAUUAGGCUGUCCCAAAAAAUUGGAGGGUUAAUUACUAAGCAUAUUCAGGAUUAUAGAUCACAAUGAGACCGAAAAUACAUGCUACACAGGGUAUGGAGACAGACAAAAAUUCAGGAAGAAAAAUGAGAAAAGAAAACCCUGUUAAGCAAAAGCAAAAUUUGUAAAAGGAAAGAAAAAUACAUCAAGAAUACAACCCACCAUUGACCUAUUUUCAAGCUUGUACGUUAUCUCUGACUCCACUGCAAUGUAAAAUGUUGUUGAGCUUUCGCAUUUGCACGAUGUCGUUCAUAGCAAUUCCCAUUGCCGCUUUAACAAAUCAAUGCGGUCAGAUCAGUAGGGCCGCAAAUGCUGCUGAUAUCAGUAAAUGAAUUCUGGAAACUGGCAGGCUUGUAGCCCCAGAGAAGGGGCUUACAGGUCCGGACGCCACAGGAGGCAGAAACCCCCCUCUCGUGCUUGAAUGAGAGCUGUUUCAAGAUAUUAAAUGUUUAGAGCCACCCACAAUAGAUAAAUAAAUAGAACUACGGUUUAUAAUUCAGGACAGUUUAAAUGUAAAUAAAUUCAGAUUCUCACCUCCCUGCAUACGUACAGGAUCCGUAACCUGUAAGAAAGUAACCAAUGACACAAAAUCAGAAAAAAUAUAAGAAAAAUGAAUAGAAGGAAAUGAAAUGAAAGACAGAUAUAGAUUGCUCAGUACAAGAAACAGUGCAAGCUUAAUGAUGUAUAGUAAUAAUCAUCCAAAACGUUGGCAAUAAGAUCCAGAAACUAUAUAUUUAUUGCUAGUAUCGGCUAAAUCAGAAAAUUGCGACCAUUCAUUAAAUCUAUAUAUGAUUCUGGUCAUAAAUUGGGUAAAUAACUUGUUUAAUCCCGCAUUUACGAACAGCAGUUUAAUCAGAAAAUAGUUGCAGGGAGAAGCACAAAACCUUCUCUCUUUUUCGAUGCUUAAUGAGAUAUCUAUCCAUACUAUAACUAGAAACUCAAUUUUGUUCAGAUGAUAAAAAUGAUGAAAGAAACAACUUUCUAAAGCAAAACUAAGAGACAUCGGCAAUGGAUCAAAUAAAUGUAUCGCCAAAUUGUUCUUUGCUACACAGAAGAAUAGUAAAUGCUUUUGCAAGUUUCUUUUAAAAAUAUCCAAAUCUAGAAUAAGAAUAAAGCAAACAAGGUUUAUCCAAAGCAAUAACUUGAAAGAUGAUGAUUAAAUAAAGUGGAACUCACUAGGAUCUUUAGUAGUUGUCAUAGCAGUACCAUCGAAGUUGCAUGUUCCACCAACACUACGCAUCUUUUGAUAAUAAUCAUUAUAAGCAUAAGAAGCAUGACUCUUGAUGUUGUUGGGAAGAUAACAUGGCUGCCCUGGUUGGAUAGCAGAACAGUUAGCAUGGCCUUGCCCACAAGCCCAGUUCAAGCCAUUUUGCAACUUAUCAGAAUCUGCAUCAUCUUUUGCCACACAGAAGACCCCAGAAGAAUUUCCUAUAAUUUGACCGGAGCCACUAAAAUUCAAGGGAUAAACAGAAGUUCCAUUAGUAAAAAACACACCCCAGUUUUUUUCCGAAAUGGGUCCAGGCCUCUUGUCUUCAUUGAACAACUCAUAAACAUAGGUGUUAAUGGGCAUAUCAGGUUGACUAGGUGGACCAGUAUCAUUCAAUACUCUUCGGAUCAUAUUGUUAUUGUAGGUCUCAGCAUUUUCCAAAGUGGCAUCAGUUUCAUUACCUCCACCAAGCCAAGGCCAGCCAGAUUCUGUGACAAUGACAGGGAUUCCUGAAAAGUUGAGACCUUCUAUGGAAUAAUAGGUAGCAUCCACCAUAGCAUCAAACAUGCUGUUAUAGUGAAAAAGAGUGUUUGGGUCAACGAUUUGCUUGACUGAGGGCAUUGGUCGGAAAAGUGCAUAAUCGAUUGGGAAAAUACCAUUUCCAUUAGUGUAACCAUAAUAAGGAUAGGCGUUUAACAUGUAAAAAGAUUUAGUAUUCUUCAAAAAUUGAAGAAUCUGAUAAAUUGUAGAGUUCCAUGCAGAAUUAAAUGUAGCGGUGGAAGGGGGGAAUGGCCUUGGGAUUAUAUCCAUGGAGUGUGGAGUUGAAAUUUUGACUUGGAAAUUUAGAUCUGAAGCAACUAGAGCUUUAUGAAGGUUAUUCAUGGCCGACACCAAAACUGAGGCAGCAUUAGGGAUUGAGGUAAGAACCUGACUGCCAACCGCAAUGGCUGUAAUAUUAGUUGUAGGCAUGUACGCAGCAACAUUUUUAUUAAUCCAGCCUGCUGCAGCUGAUGCAGAUUCUCCAAUACCCAAGACUUCCUCAUUCAGUACACCAACAAUUACCUCAAUUCCACUCUUUGAAAGGGCUUUCAGCAUGUGACUGUCAGCGUCAUAAAGGCGUACGUGAGUAAUUUGAUUGGCUCUAAGUAUUGCAACAAUAUCUGAAGCUGAUGGCAUGUUGGAAACAUCUGUUCCGAUGUUUACACCAACAUAUGCACCUACAAAUUCAAUAAAGUAAACAACUGGUAAGAAGGCAAGAUAGGCAAUUAAUUUAGAUUAUCUUCGGAUAUCAGAAAGAUCAAGGAAAGUUAUUAUAUGAGUCCAGGAUACAUUCAGCAAAUUACCUAACACGUUGGUAAAGAGGCCAAUUGCAAGAAAAACCACACUUCCAAGCCAUUUUACAAGCAUCAUCUGUCCAACAAACUUUAACCUACACCUUCAGUCCAGUCAAUUACUCCAAGAUGGAGAUCAGACUGCCAAAGCUUCCAGAAACACACAAAAAUGGAAUUUGAUGCCAAUAGCUGACUGCAAGGUCCUGCUAAGGCCAAUAAAACAGAGUGAAUGAUUUACUACAUAAGCAGGACGCAUAAUCCAAGACCAUUACAGGCAUCAAAAUGCAGAACCCAGCAUCAUUGUCUAAAUGGAAUUAUUAAAGUAAGAAGCUACACAAGUGCUGCCACAGGCCUAAUAAGGGUGCAUGAUGUGGAGAAACAUUAUAAAAGAUUUCUAAGAUGACAUGCGAUCAAAUCCUCUGCUAAAUAUGGUAGAAACAGGUGCGUAAGAUUUCAAAGUUCUUUCUUCAGUUUUUCAACAAAAAUUGCAAUUAACAGAAAGUCGAGGCAAAUAAGUAUACAAACUAAGCAGCAUAACCCAGAUGAGGUAAUUUCACAAAACAAAAACAUAGUUAUAAUAGCACAACAAUUAGAAUAUUUGAGAUAAAACAAGACUAGCAACGGUAAUUACAGAAAAUUCACCAACGCAAUGCUCCUGGCUGCUAAAAGAGGAGAAAAGCAGUUUUCUAUUUCUGGAUAAAAAUGGAGGUAAUUGCAAUCUUGAAUUGUUUCAGAAAUCCCAAUGCGGCAUUUCAGAUAUAGACAUAUAUUAUUGCACCACCAUUUCCUAUAGCAAUUUUGGUUUCAGAACUUGUCAAAACCUGGAUUUUAGAAACAUCAGCCCAUAUUAACAUUGAAAGAGCACAAAGUUGCAAGAACAUAAAACUACAGGGAACCUUAAGUACAAUGAGCUCAAUUAAAUUAAAAAAACAAAAGAGAGACAACUCAGUCGUGCUGUCGAAGUUUUUAUACAUCAUUAGAAUCGUGACCAAUACUAAUUUCCAGCAAUCUCAAGCUCAGCAUCAAGAAUCAAAAAAUGCAAAUACAAAUCAAGCCACCCUAUUCAUAUCCUAUGCAAGUAAGCCAUUAAAGAUAAAAAAAGAAGGCUAAAACUAAGCUAGAAAAAUCCUAAUAUUCACAGAACCCAGAAUUCAAAUCAUCAAAGAGCUCCACAAAAGCAAGUACCCAGAUGCCAAAAUCUCAAAAGAACAUCAAACAACAAAGAACCCAAAUAAGAAAACAAACAAGGGAACUGAAAAAGUACCCGAUCCAAAUUGCCUGAGCUCACAGAUGCCACAAAAGCUUCUUCCCCUUUUUAAGCUUCCUUGAACGAAUCAGCAAAACCUCAUAAAACUCAGAGUGUUUUUGUUUUCAGUCGCAAAACUAAAGUAACUGACUUCCCCAGUACAAAGAAAACUUUAAGACAGAAUCUGAAAAGAUUUUUAAAACAAAACCCAACAAGUGACAAAAGCCAAGCCAAUGUAAUUAAACACUUCUAUAGCAAAUCUAAAACAUUAAUCCCAUAACAACAUUCACUGUACUUAAGAAUAUUGACCAUGCCCCACACUGAUACAAAAUAUAAUUUGUAGCAUUUAAUGCAAGGUUCCAGAAUUUAGAAGCUAUUGCAGCUUUCCUUAUGAGCGCAACAGGCGCAAGUCUGCAGAAUUUUGUUGUUUGUUGUUUUGUCUUUAUUGUAUUAUUUUAAUACCCAAAACUAUGACUGGUAAAUAUAUAUAAAAAUUAAUAAUUUAGUGAGAUAUCUUCAUUUUAUUUAAGAAUGUUAUUAAAACAUUAAAAAAAUAUAAUCUUUACUAAAAAUUAUAUUUUUUAAUUAAUAUAUUAAAAUUUAUGUUUUUUAUUUUUAUGAAGAUUUUAUUAUAUAUAUAUAUUGACACAGACAUACCAAAAAAAGGGGAAAAAAAAAAGAAAAGAAAAGAAAAGCCGGUCCACAUAUUAUUUUUAGUAGGAAAAUCAUACAUACACAUUGAGGCAUGGAAAGUAAAAAAAGACUAAAGUGAAGCCUUCAUGGGAAUUUUGUGAUUUUGUUUUCCCUCCAAAAGUCACAAGCAAUUAUUCGAUUAUAUUCUUUUAAUGUUCAAAAGGAAUGGAAAGUCAAAGAGAAACGGUUUGAUUGUGAAAGGGAGAUUAAAAGGGUUAAUUAGUCAUUAUUUAAUCUAGUUCAUGAGGAUUAUAAGGUGGUCAUAAUUAGAUUAUUUAUUUAAACCGAUCAAAGUACUAUUUUCACCCACAUUUUAAUUAACUUUUUUUUUUAUUAUUACAAUGCCCAUAACAUAAAAUUACAAUAAUGGGAAAGAUAACAAUUCAAUUAAAAAGAACUUCUCUUUACGCCCAUCUAUAACCUCUCUUAACUAAAACUAAUCAACACAAUUCAUUUGAUUUUAAACUUUUUUUUAUUUUUUUAUUUUUUGCUUUACUCAUAUCAAUCAUCAAAACUAUGCAAACAAGUAAACAACAUUAGAUUAAUACUAACAUAAAAGUUGCCAUGUGUUAAUUUUAUUUUGUUUUAUUUUAUCAUUCAAAAACCUCAACUACUCCGAGGUUUAAUCAUUCAAAUGACACGGAAUUUGGUACUCCGUGCUCCUUCGAUUUCAACGUGCCUGCAAAAAUUCAAAAAUAGAUUACGGGUCUUAAUCAAUUCAAUAAUUAAAAUAGGCGGGCCUAGAGAAGAAAAAAAAAUUACUUUAAUAUCAAUAAUUAAAAUAGACAAGUUCAACAAUAUUUCAUUCUAAAAGAGUAAUUGAAAUUCGUUAUACGGGAAAGAAAAUUAGUAGAAAAAAAAAUGGAAAUCACGUUCACUAAAUAAACCUGCUUUUACUAAAUAAAAACAAUAUGAGGGCAUAUUUGGGGUUAAAAUAGGUGUAAUUUUUUAAAUUUUAACAUUAAAUUUUUUAAAUAAAUGGGUAAAAAAAAUAUUUUCAUGGGUUCAAAUAACUCACCUUUUUUUUUUUAAAAUGUUAGGGGUUUCUUGGCUACAAAUGGAUAGGAUAUAUAGUAUAUUCUUUUUACUUUUUUAUUUGGUACCAAAGUUGCGAACAUGAUCCGCAAAUUUCAAAGACCGAACAAUGUUAUUUGAUUAUAAAACAAUGCGUAAAUCAUUUAGCGAUGACAUUUAUCAACCAUCAUCAAAUUUACGUUUUAGGACAAGCGGACGUGGUUGUAUCUUUUAUUGCAUGAUAAGCGAACUUGACACCCACGCAAUAAAUAAUAUAGGCAUUUUAUCACAAGCUUUGGUAUGAUGCAUGACUUUGUGGCUUAAUUCUCGGUCAUCACAUAAAAGACUAAAGAGAGGAAAAAGAGCAAAAUGCAUGGCACUUUGGGAUAUUUUUAUAAUUCCUUUCAAGUUUUAAUAGACUUGAAUGAAAAGAGAACGCGCCCCCACAUGCACAUUGCUCCACCUUUGUGAACACAUAGGCUCUUUUUUUAUUUUACAAAACUUUUGUUUGGUGGGUCAGGUCAAAAGAACCAAUUGUCACAAGAUGGCCAGACAAAAGCACUCACAAUUAUUACUAUUUUUUUUAAAUAAAAAAAAGGCGUAAAUCAGAAACAGAAACCAAACCCCAAGUUGAAGCAAAUAUUCAUAAUUCAAAAAAGGUCAGAAACCAAGCUCCACGCUUGGCUGUAAAGUGAAAUGUUGUGGAAACAAACGUCAAAAAAGCUGCUGUACCGUACAUCCGCCUUGGCCGUACAAAUGGGGCCCUGCAGAUACCCACCGAAAUUGGCAAUGGAGAAAGCCCUCAAGCCUUAUUGCAGGACAGCUUUUAACAUAGGCAUAUGACUUGCGAGAAAAUGAAGCAGGCAUAAAUAUUAUUCGGGAGCUGCUAUGCUACCUUGCAAUUACCGUAAGGUACAGCCCUCUCUAUUGGUUGUGGGCCUAAGUGGGACUCAUAACUCAAUUUGUGAGGAGAUGUACCUUGCAUUUAUUGACCGUAAAAGGUAGAGAAAUCCUAAAUAUUCAAGCCUGUAAAUUUUGAAAAACUCAAUUGCUUUUCAAAUCAGCACGGGGACUAUUUGUAUAUCAGAAUAAACUGCAACAACAAAGAAGUAAUCUACAGAGUUCAACCUAUAUGUCGCCAAGAUCUCAAUCCAAUUUCAUCCAACAAUACAUUACCUGUUUCAGAACAUAAGCUUCAAACAAAAUGUGGUUCUCUUCCAAUGAAUUACUGACUUGGGGAUCUAAAUCCAAUUUUGUCCAACGAUACAUCACCCGCUUCAGAAUCAUAAACUUCAAAAAAUAGCUGGUUCUCUCCUAAUGGGUUCACUGACUAGGGGGCCUAUCUCCAUUGCGUUCACCUGAGUACUCCCGUCUCGGACUCCGGCUUCGGCUUCUGCUCACGCUGUGGUUACGUUUCGGGGUCCGGCUUCUGCUUGGGCUCCAGCUCUGACGUUGGCCUCUGUGGGGACUUCUACUUCGGCCUCUGGGCCCGUCGUAAGCUGGAGAACGCGAGUAUGAUCUCUCUCGGCUAUAGUUCUGACCAUGAGGUGAAACAGAUCUACCUCCGAAUAGGCCAGAUAAAUACGUUAGACGUCUCUAGACACUUGGCUCAAGCAAGUUUUAAGCUAUGAAAAACCAAGAUAUAAACAAUAAUAAAACAGAAGGAAAGGUAAAAACAAAUAGGGAUUCAAACAAGAAUAGCACAAAAGCCAAGAAGGCAUCAAUUGCCUAGCAUUUUUUAAACAAAUGAUUUGAAGAGCAGAUAAAUUAAGAAAAAUUAAUUCAUUUGCAAGCAGUUACAAGUAACAAUAUUACUUGCAAAAGAAAAGUUUAGGCUAGAGAAAGGCAAAUAUGUUGUGCAUUCAUUUGUGCUAUAAAACCCAAAACAGUGGAACCCAACAGAUCCAACUUCAUAUGAAAAACAAGGUUAACAUAUUUCACACCUGGAGUAAUUCCUGCGUCGGGGUGGAGGAGAAUAAUCACGACCGUAGGAGGGAGAUCUUGCAUAACGUGGAGGUGGGGAACGAGAAUAACGAGGAGGCGGGGAACGUCUACGAAAUCGACCCCUGCAAAGUGAAAGCCAGCAGCAACUUAGUAAUAUUUAUUUCCAAAAAAAAUGAUAAAAGAAAAACGUCUGAAUGCAACAAAUGGUAGCCAUGCAUCUUAAUUGAUUACCUUUCACAUUGACCAAAGGAUAUUAAAUACGAUUUUAGGACAUACAUUAGCAAAUUGUUGGUUUUAUUCUCAUUAUAUUUUGAAUAAUUAGUUCUACUCAAUAAAAAACAAAUCUUCAUCACAGAGCAUAUAGUGUCCAUAAUCCAAAAAUGGCAGCUGGUAUGAAUGUCACCAGAUGUAAACUACAUGUAAGAGUCCACUUGAAGAAGGGGCCAUCAAAUUAGUGAUCAACAAGAUUUUUUAAAUGUCGGGAAGACAUAUUUAACAAUGUACCCUUCCACCUAGCACAAUCACAGCAGGCAUCUAUAAAUUUUUGAAAAAUAUCCAAAUGCAUCACUAUAAAUUUAAUAAAGAAAUGAGUCAAAACCUCAGGCCAAAAGCAAAUUCAUCCAAAAUACCCUGCAAAGGUAGCAUAAAACUCACCUUCCCCGCUCCCUUGCUCUCAUAUCAGAUGGCUUCUUCCUAUUCUCCUCAGCAAACACAACAGUCAACUCCCGGCCAAGAAGAACCUGACCAUCCAUGUGACGUUUGGCCUCUGCAGCAUCAUCAGGUUCUACAAAUUGGAUAAACCCAAAACCACGAGGUUCCCUGCAAAAUUUUGAUGUUAAAACAAAGGCUGAGACAAACAGUUAUUAAAAAGCCAACAACAGAGAAAAAGAUUAUGACGGGUGUUGAGCACACCAUAAACCUUUGCAAAUUGAAACUGCCAAAACAAUCCCCAGGAAUAUGGAAGGUCAUGAUAAGCAUUAAAAAGCAAGCACUUGCCUGCUAACCUUGCAAGUGUCAGUUUUAAGUGGACUUGAAAUUCCUCAAGACUUGGAACAUCUUCACAAUGUAUUCAAACCCAACUUCCUUCAAAUCUUCACUACCAUUAACAUCAUCUUCAAAAGAACUCUAAAUACUUGAAUGAUGUCUUCAAAACUUUAAUAGCACUGUUAAAUCCCAGCAACUUCAAUUAUCGCACCCAACUAAUAAUUAAAAUAGAGUACAUCAUGAAGGAAUGCCAAGACACAGAUGACAAUGAGGCAGGUGCUUGGUAGGCUGUUCAGUAACAACUCAACAAACAUGCUUUCAAACUUUGUCAAACUCUUUCAAAACGCAACUUUCUAAAAGAUGGUGUUAAAGAUGAUUUUUUUAACAAAAAGAGAAGGGCACAAACCACAUGAAUCACAAUUAUAUGAAUCCCAUAAAAAGUGCAUUUUCAAAGAUCACGAUAAAAAAUAGUAAUCCCGGGUAUAAAGAUCCAGAAAACGAACCCUGACAUCAUAACUACUAUUUCUUCACGAAACCAACAAUUAUUCUGAAAAUUUUACCAAGAAUUUCCUCAACUUCAUGAUAAAACUGACAAUAGUUUUAAGUAAACAAAAUAAGGCAGUUAUCAAAGAUACUUCAAACUUUUUAAGGCUGUAGCUAUCUGCUCACCCAGAAUAAUAAUCCCUUGGCAAGUAAAUGUCCUUGAUUGCUCCAAACUGCUCAAAUGGCCUGCGAAUAUCUUCUGGCCUACAAACAGCACAAGAAGCAAAUGAAAUGUUACUCAAAAAAAUUAUUUUAAGAAAUGACUCUAAAAAUAGCUGAGUAUGCAUUCCCAGCUAAGACACCAGUCAGUGUGUCACUAGAAUGAACACAUACUACUUAUCUAUCUUGUAUUCAUCUUUUACAAUAAGAGUCAAUGCCAUAUUCAUCCACCAAAACUAGAGGUUGGACAGUUCAAACAGAACCAACUUCAUUUUUUAUUAAGAUAUACCAUUCCAUAGACAAGGUCAAAUUCAUAAUGCAUUUGUCAUUUGUGUAAUGUAAUUAUGCUUCUUGUCACUCAUCAAAUGGGGGCCAAAUGUUUCCCACUGGAUUAUAUCUACUUGUAAUGAGAGGCAACACCACAAGGCACUAUUUUAUGGCACAGAGAGUCAUACUAACUAGAUAAGUGCUUCAUGCUUGUGCCAACCUGUGUUAGAAUACGCAUACAACACAAGUUGGGAAAUAGAGCCAAUCGAAACAAGUUUUAUAUCAUAAACAAUAUGUAAUAAACACUACCAUUCCUCAUCUAGACAUCUAGAUUUUGUAUAAAUUUCAGUCUCUAGUAACUCGCAUCCAUCAAUAGAGUAAGAAUUCUCAUCAAUUCAAGAAUUAUAUUAUGCAUGAAGCUCACACAUGGCUAACCACUUUAGUUAUUGUUGUGGUAAAAGUUUCUAUAUGGUUAUUUUGUGUAGCCACAGUUGAAAGAAAGAAAAAAGGUAUUACUGAAGCAAAAAGAUCGAAGAUACAUGCGUGGACUAGAUGCCCACAAAGAAAACAAAAGGAACCUUUUCAAGAGAGCAAUAUCAAUCCUCCAAAGUAAUCUCCCAAUUUUCAGCAUUCAUCCAUUAGAUGAUCAGUGGGCAUGAAAAAGAUUGGAAUACUACAUAGGAAGCAUGCUAUUGCUCUUUCAAAAUACUGAGAAACCUACCUAUGGCAGCAAGUAGGGUUUUAAAAUGCUUCUUAACUGUUUGACAUAAAAUUAACUAUUAAACAAAUAUUAAACUCUCCCGCUUCCAAUAUUCUCCAAAUCAGAAACCUUUAGUAGUUAUUACUGUAAACUACAUAUUUUGUUUAAUACAUGCAAAUAACCUUUUGACCUACACUUUAUGAAAGAUUUAUCUUGAUCUAGGUCCUAGAUUUUCGUAUGUUCUUCAAAAAGUUUCUACAUCGCUUAUAGCAGUAGAGAUGUUUUAUAAGCAACAGAAAGUCAUGUUAAUAUUUCAUUAUCAACAGGAUCAUACGUCAAUGGCCUCCAAGCUCUGCAUUAGGUGCAUUUUACUCAAACGCACUUUAUACAUGAAUACUUCUAGCAUAGAUGUAGUUUCGUGCAGAACCAAUCUUAUUAAAAAUCACUUCUCCAAAAAGUAACACUUUCACAUUCAUAUACAAGCCACACCUUUUCCAUUCAAUCAACUAGUGAACUAGUUUCUAAAACAUUUAGACAAAAUAUCUUAACCAAUAAAAUACUAAACUAGUUUAAAAAGAAAAAAGAAAAAGAAUCAUUACCUGCAAUCAUGGCGAAGAUUACGAACAAGAAGGCUAGUAGGCAAAUCUCUCCCACGCCCACCACCAUAACGGCCUCUUGGGCUAGGGCUCCGUCCUCUACGGCCGUACCCGCCACCACUACCCCUUGGCGGCGGCGACGGCGUGUAACUUCUUCCUCUCAUUGUUUAAGAAACGAAAACGUCCAAUCUGCACGGUUUCAAUAAGUGCUACAGUUAUAAGACGAAUUAUCCUCACACCCAAUCAAAAAAAAAAGUUAAAAAGAAAGCAAAAUUUACAUGAUAUUCAACAAAAGACGCGAAAAUGAUAUUAGGGUUUUGGGAUGUUUGGGAACUUACCAGAGGGCUGUGCCGUGCUUUUGGCUUUUGGGAGUUUUGCUUUUGCCUUGUUGCGUAUAAAGAAAGAGUAAACUGACAGCUAGGGCUAGCGACGCUAGAUAAGUAGACACCGCCCUUUUAAGGAUAGGACCGGGCCAAAAAAACAGUAUUCUUAAAAAAAAGGGAAAUUUACAACAAUAGCCAAACAAAUUAGGCAUUUUUCAACUUUAACCCCUCAAAUUUUUUUCUAUCAACGUUAGCCAAAUCACCAAAUUGUGGACGAAAUUGCCCUCCUCAAUCUCACGUUUCCCUCAAACAAAUUCCUCCCCCUCUCACCAAAAUCUCAUCACCGGAAGUUGUGUAGAUCGUCGGCGGCAGCGUAGAUCGGCAGCAUUUCAACCCAGGGCAGCUGAAAUUGAAAACCCUAGGUGAGUUGUUAUUGCCAUAGUUGAUGUUGUUGAUGUUGUUGUUGUUGUUGUUGUUGUUUGGAAUGUCGUUGUUGUUGGUGGUGUGGUGUUUAAUGGCGGUUGUUGGUGGUGUGGUGUUGUAGAUGCAUGUGGGUGAGCUGCGCGCACGCUGCGUGCAACGCUGCGCGCAUCUCGAGUGCGACGCAGCGCCUGUCGCACGCGAGAUGCGCGAGGCACGCUCAUCCCGCGCCGGCGAGAUGGGCAAGCCGCGCGCAUCUCGCGUGCGACAGGCGCUGCGUCGCGCGCAUCUCGAGUGCGACAGGCGCUGAGCGCGAGCUGCGUGCAGCGUGCCAGCCUGCGCGCAGCAACUCGCGCGCGCGGCUCGCGCAUCCCACGCCCGCCUGUCGCACCAAGAGGUGCAGCCUCUUGGUGCAACGGGGUGCCCUCUUGGUGCAAGGCCAUCAUCAGGUUCAGAGGCUCUGUCUCUCCUAUUUGUUCAAGAGUGAUGAGCCUAGUGAGUAGAGAAACCAGUAGAUUUGUUGACAAAUACGAUGUUACUCUUGAUGUUUGUAUAUCAUCUGUGCUCUCACAGUCCAAAGUCCUUACACCCAAGGUGACAACUUUAUUAAUCAAUCGUUUGUGAGUUGUCUUUCGCUUCUUGCUUUAUCUUUAAUGCACUCAAUUUCUAAUUUGGCUUUCUCUUUCAUCUUUUGUUGGCAGCAAGUUGGUGAAACAACAGUAGAUGUCUGUGUGGAAGAUGAAACCGUUAAUUAUUUUCUUUUUACCAUACUGACUACAGUUCUGUUCUGUUAUGCAAAAUGGAAGUUUGAUUACAAUUUUUUUGUUUGUUUGUUCAUCCAGUUUGUCCAUUGUCCAUGCUACGAUGUGGCAAAAAUUUGUAAAAAAAUCAGGGAAAGAAAAAAAAGUGUUCUCAAGUUCUUUUGUGAGUUUUAAAUGUUUAGUAAAUGGCGUAACAACAGUAGAGAAUUUUCAAUCAACAGAUGGAGGCAGCUUAUGCCAAGGUGUUUUAUUAAUUUAUUGAAGAACAUUAUGACGAAGGAAAAAAAAAAAGGGGGAAUAAUUCUAUUAAACAAGAGCCAAAAAUACAUGAUUGAUCAUGAAAAUUUUAAAGGGCUUUCAGAGCAAUUGGAAACGACAAUGGGAGCUUCAACUCGCAUUUUUAAACAAUUGAACUCCAAAGCUAUCAUGGGUUUUGACAACAUUACUGAUAUGCUCAAACAAUUAUUCAUUAAUGAUUUCCCAACAUUUACAUUCAUCGUUCUACAUUUGACUUGUAUGCAUGAAUUUCAUUGUUGAUGACUUGACUCAGUGAUGCAGAAUCUUUGAACUUGUCAAAUCAUAUCUCUUCAUUGCUGCAAAUUGCCGAAGCUUUUUAGUUCUUCUCCUCCCCCGCCUGUCGCACCAAGAGGUGCUGCCUCUUGGUGCUGUAUUCUUCGCAUUCACGUACUCCGUACGGCCAUCUGCUAAUGUCUCCCACCAACCGUCGUAACAUAAUUGAAGUACAACCUAGAUUAUGAACUACUUGACCUAGAGAUACCAACAAUCACUAUUGUCGGAAAACUUGUCAAGGCAGGAAUCCCAGUGAUGGUGUACAGGUAAGUGUCUCUAACCUUGAAGCUUCCGCUUCAUUUUCAGUUUACAUGGGAUAUUUUUAUCAUUGAAAAUUGAAAUGAUACAUAUUGGUUAUUGAAUGACAGUGGAGAUCAAGAUUCUGUUAUUCCAUUGACUGGAAGUCGAAAAUUAGUAAAUGGGUUGGCAAAUGAAUUGAAAUUGGGAACCACCGUGCCUUACAGAGUGUGGUUUGAAGGGCAGCAGGUAAUGAAUCUUUUGAAGAUUGUCAAUUUUUUUUUAAAUUAAAAAAAAAUGCUAGUGUGACAAAAUCAGUAUUGCUUUUAAUCUCUAGGUUGGUGGAUGGACCCAAGUUUAUGGUAAUAUCUUAUCCUUUGCCACCAUUAGAGGAGCAUCUCAUGAAGCCCCAUUCUCUCAUAAGAUGUGGCAAAAAUUUGUAAAAAAAUCAGGGAAAGAAAAAAAAGUGUUCUCAAGUUCUUUUGUGAGUUUUAAAUGUUUAGUAAAUGGCGUAACAACAGUAGAGAAUUUUCAAUCAACAGAUGGAGGCAGCUUAUGCCAAGGUGUUUUAUUAAUUUAUUGAAGAACAUUAUGACGAAGGAAAAAAAAAAAGGGGGAAUAAUUCUAUUAAACAAGAGCCAAAAGUACAUGAUUGAUCAUGAAAAUUUUAAAGGGCUUUCAGAGCAAUUGGAAACGACAAUGGGAGCUUCAACUCGCAUUUUUAAACAAUUGAACUCCAAAGCUAUCAUGGGUUUUGACAACAUUACUCAUAUGUGAGACAGGCGCCUGUCCCACUUGCUUGUCUCACAUAAAACCAGUGGUAACAAGUGAGACAGGCGCCUGUCCCACUUGCCUGUCUCACAUAAAACCAGUGAUAACAAGUGAGACAGGCGCCUGUCUCACACGCCUGUCCUACUUGCCUGUCGCACAUAUUUUGGUGGGACAGGUGCAUGUCUCACAUAAAACCAGCAGAUUUAUGUGAGACAGGUGCCUGUCUCACUUGUUCUGGGCUUCAGUUUUACUCGAUUUUUCAGGAGUUUCAAUGAUUGAUUUUCAUUUCUCAACUCAAACUAACUACUUUAACAAGUCACAUUGUUUUGUUAAUGAAAAAUAACAACAUUUGCCUUCAAUACUGUUAAGUUGAAAAGAGAAAAGUGGUGGAAGUGCUGGAAUUGAAAAGAGAAUAGUGGCAUGCCUUUGUAAAUUUGAUGAAAAUGAUGAGGAUAAUGUAGUCCAAAAAUAGGGUGUUUGGCUAGUUAUGAUAGAAAAAAGUUUGAGGGGUUAAAGUUGAAAAGUGCCUAAUUUUUUUGGCUAUUUUUGUAAAUUUCCCUAAAAAAAACCCAAUCUAAUCGACGGUACGGUUCUAAUUCGGUUUUAAUUUUUAAAAAAUUGAAAUAUAUUAUUUAUAAAAAAAAAAACUAAAAUAUCGGUUUGAUAUUCGGUUCACUCAAUUGAAUCGAAAAAUUAAACCAAAGAAUUGAAUCAUUAUUGUUAUUUUUAUUUGUCUUUACAACAUUAUGUGUUAUGUAAAUGGAAUAUUGGAGUUUGUUUAUGUAUUUUAAAAUCUUAAUAUUUCAUAUUUUGUGAGCAGUGAAUACUUUAUUAGUAGUUACUAAGAUAUUAAUGAUAAAAUAUAUUUUGAAUACUUUGUAUUUAUUGUUAAUAUUUAUAAUGAAAUUAGGAUGCAUUAAUUGUUGAAAAAAAUUAUGACAUUCAUGAGGGCCAACAAACUAAAAAUUUAGAAAAUUCAAAAUAGGUCAAGAAUCGAAAAAACCGAACUGAUUUAAAAAUAUUCGUUUGAGUUCAAUUCUUAUUGAGUUCGGUUUUUAUUCGAUUCUUUUUAUAAAAUAAUCAAUUUAAAUCGAUUUUACUUAAUUUCGAUCCGAACCCAACGGUGCGCAUCCUUAUUUAAAGAUGAGUAUUGUUUCUGUUUGAUUUGGAUUUAUUUAAAUAAAAAAAUGCUCAUUAUUAUUCUUUUUUAAUUAUGCUUAUCCCCUUUUUAAUUAUAUAAAUAUGUUUGUGUAUUUUAGAAAUAGUUUUUGAAAUCAGUUAAAUAGCUUGAUUUUUGUUUUAUUUUUGGAUAAUAUUUUAUGUGACGUAAAAAAUGAAUACAUUGAUAAAUUACCAAUAUUGGCCCUUGCAACAAUUUCGUGUGUGUGUAUAUAUAUAUGUGUAGAUAUUAAACAUUAAAAUUAAUGUUAUGAUGUCAAAAAAUGCGCAUGAAUAUUCAAAAAUUCUGCCACGUCACCGCCUAUUGGAAACAUAUAUAUGCAACUCCCUCGUCUCUUCUUCUUCUCCGGCAACAAAUUUAACCGGGUAAUUACAAUUUUUAAAUAUUUAUUAUCAUAAUUAUUUCUAUAGUUUAAUUUCAAUUCCCUUUUUGCUUAGAAUUUUUCCCAUGCUUGUAAUCCAUGAACAAUUUUUAUUUUAAAAGUAAUCCACAAAUCUUUCUAUUCCAUCACUAAUUUUGCUUCCCGUAUCUUUAUUAAUCUUACUUCUUUUUUUCCCCAUUCUUUGCAUCUUGAAUCGUGAUUUUGCAGUUGAUUCGGUCCAAGUAUUUUCUAUUUAUUCAAUUUUUUGUCCAUUUAAUUAGCAUCGAUGAACAGUGAUUAAGUUGUAAAUUUUGAUCCUUUCAUGCUCUAAUCUUAAGCUCCGAAUUGAUGAAGCAAACCCAUGCUUCAAUUUGCGUAGAUAUAUGCUUAAUGCUCCAGUUUGUGUAGAUAUAUGUUUAAUGAAGGAAUAAUGAGGUUAUGUUCUUUUAUUAUUAUUAUUUUUUGUUUUCUUGAUAGAUUAAAGUAUUUUAGGUAAGUUGUUUGAUGAAAUGCCUAAGUGAGUUUUUAUUGAUGUCAAAAUGAAGGGGUAAGAGUAGUUGGUCAGAUCUAGUGAUAAAAGUAAUCUGAUUAAGUAGGAAAUAUACAUCUGAGUAUUGAAGAGAAUUAUUGUUUGUGGACUUGGUUGAAGAUUUCAUUUUGGUUGAUUGAGGCAUUGGUUUUUGUAGGCAUUGAUGGAGGAGCAGUUCAUAUUGCGAGUUCCGCCUUCAGUUGCUGAGCGGAUAGAUCGCCUUUUGAGUGAAAAUGAGUCUUCAGAAGAGGACAAAUCACUGGAUUUGUCUUUUUGUGGUAAGUACAUGUUAUUCUUUCCUUGAAUUGUUUGAAUAAUCCCUGCGGUUUGUAAGGAAGCACUCUUUAAUUAAUGCUGAGUAUAAUCCAGUAAGAAGGAGAUAUUGCACCAUUCAAUCAUUUUCAUUGAUAUAGUAUAUCUCUAAUUCUAGUACAAUUUCGCUGCUUGCCUCCUUUUUGUCCUUGGGCUGUCACAACUGGAAAAUAUCAUCGUUAAUGUAUAGUAUGCCUUUUCAUUUUAUUUUUCCUUUGAACAAAUUUGUGCUUGCAAUUUUCAAUGAUCUUUUAUUCCCCACAAAUUAGUUAUAAUAGAAGCAGUGAGACAAUUGGAAGAAUUUUAUUUUAUUUAUUUUUUUUUUUUUGAAGCAUAAUAUUCGCAGAACUAAUUGUUUCACCUAUUGUCUUGGCAUAUCUGUUAACUUGGAUUUUCUCCAGAGGACGGGAGGAGUGGCACGUUUGUCAUAGGCAAUGACCAUUUUCCAGUAUCUCUCAUGGAUCUUCCUUGUGUUGUGGAGUCAUUCAAAACUUAUGAUGACUGUGCUCUAGUUAAAACUGCAGACAUUGGCCAGGUACGGGCCUUGUGAAGAUCUUCUAUUCAAUAUGAUCAAACACAUGUUUUCGUCAUUCUUAAUGCAACUGUAUUAACCAUUGUUGUUAUACAGAUGAUUAUGGUUAGAGAGCCAGGUGACUCUACUCCAGAUGCAGUGGAGUACAGACAUGGUCUUACCCCUCCAAUGAGGGAUGCUCGUAAGCGAAGAUUUCGAAGGGAGCCGGAUCUCAAUGUACAACUUCUCCUUACUUUUUUAACAAUUUGUUGAUUAUUGCCCUAUUUUCUAAUAAUAAAUAAAGAAGUAAAACACAAAAUAAAACUGUUUCUCUGUCUGGGGAAUAAAUUGCCAACUAAUGCAGUGUUCUCUUAUCGGAUGUAUGUAAUUUCAGUGGAAAUGUUCAUCUUUUAUAUAUUUCGUAAAAACUUGACCUUUACUGGAAACAUAAUUUAGAAGUUUUUGAUUAGUUUGGAGUGGCUUGAUAUAAAGCUGAUGUGGCUAUAGUGCAGCAUUACCUUUUGUUUCUUUCCAUCAAAAUUUUUAACUGAUUUUUGGUGUUGUCACCUUUUUCAGCCUGAACUCGUACAGCGCGUCGAGAAAGAUUUGUUGAACAUCAUGACCGGUGCAACAGUCGAAAAUGCAGAUAUCCUUAAAUUUAAAUCUAAUUUCAGCAUAGUUGUUUAGCAACGGAAAAUUGAAAAAAUGUUUUUCAUCAAGAAAAUUUAUAGGUCUGGGAAACCCUGGAUGUUGUUACAAAUACAGAGUAUAUAGAUUCCUAGCCAAGUUAUAGAGACCAUCACCAUUGUUGGCCAAAGUUUGAUUUUCAUGCUGUGACUUAUCCUAAUGGUGAAAUUAUGAAGUAUCAUUCUUGUUGGGGGCAUUGAGCAUAUUUCAUAGAUCUUGUGAUAUUUUGUUGGGUUAGGCAUAUCACGUUUUUCUUUCUCCUCCAGAUGAUUAAGAUGUUCAAUAACCAAUUUGAGUGCAUCAGGUCCUGGUAUUAUUGGUAUAGAUCAUUUGCUUAAAAAAAUUGAAAUCAUGUCACUGAAAAUGGGCAUCGCAUGAAUGACGGAACAACUCAUCAUUGCUAAGAUGUGAUACUAUUGUGUAAUUGAUCGUAGAGGGGAUUUAGGUUUUUUGUGAUUUAAAUGAUAUAGAUGUUUUUACUGUCUUAAUGUUUCUUGAUUGAAUAUUUUAUACGUACUUUAAGUUUUAAUUCAAGUGUUCCUUGACUGAAUGGCUUACAUCCUGAAGUGAACGAGCAAGAAGAAGAAGGUGAUGGGAAUGCACGUCAUGCAAACAGGAAGGAUGCACCUUCACCUCAACUAAAGCAACCUGAUAUUGCGGAGGCUGGAGCUAACACUGGAGCACCUGCAAGAAGCGACUCUGAUGAGUCUGAUGAUUCGAUGUAACUGCAUAUCUCAUUCGUGGGUUGAUUUAUUUAUAAUACUAUCGAUGAAUAUGUAGCUGGAUUGGUGUCAGAUUAGUACUUGUCUUUAGUUUGUUCAUGCGGCUUUUUGGUGUAUAAUUUCAGCUUGCUGCUUCUGUAACUUAUACUGUAUGCCAUUAGAUAGCUUUGAAAUAAGACUAUGAAAAAUUUGUACUCAACCAUAACGUUUUCCCUUUUUUUCAUUUUGUGUUGGGGAGGAAUUUCUUUCUUACAAGUAGUUUUUCAUAUAUAUCAGUUUUGAAUGUAAAGAAGAUGCUAGGGUCAAAUGAAAACUUUGGAACCUUGUGAUUGCUAGGAGUUAAAAGAUAGGCUUAACGCUCCAGAAUUUCUUCUGAUUACUCAAAAGGUCUAUUAGAAUGAUUGCAAUAGGCUCCAUUCGAGUUAUGCUUGUGUUGAGUUCAGAAAUUGGUAUUAAUGGAUUUUAUUCGACCCAUUUAUUGAACAAGUGACACAACAUAUUUAAUAUUCGGGUUGAACUAUCCGACUACUUCAACACCAUCCAUAUUAUUGACUUACACUAUUUUAAAUGCUUCACACGGCAGAGUUUAUGAAUGUGUCCGGACUUGCUUAGAUCAACUUUGUUAUGGUGAAUUCAUAUAUCUAGGUCUAUACUGAAAAUAUUCAGAAGAAAAUCUUCUCACUAAUGUGCAUGAGAGAACUAGAAGGAAAGGGAUGAAGUUGAAAGGUAACAUGUAUUACACCAAUACAAACCCAAAAGCUGGACAUUAUCAUCAAAUUGGGCUUCAAAAAUUUGUUCCGAAAAAUUGGGCUGAACUUGCAUGCGUCCACAAAUUUCUAGGAUUGUGUGGGAGCAAAUGAUUUUACACCAAGGGGCUUGGACAGCUAAUAGGCUUUGACUUACAUGCUGGAGAAAUCUCGAGGGGAACUAAAUCUUAAACAUUGUUUUAUAAUUUUCAUGUGCCUCCAUGCCCAAUUUAUUGAACCAAUUUGUAGAAUUAAAUGCCAGAUCUGAUCUUCCGUAGUACUACCAGGCCAUAUGCUAGCUAGCACUCCUACUGCUUUUAAUUUAAUUCCAUAAUUUGUGUGCAUGUGUGUCUGCCCAUAGACCAAAGUGUGAAUGCGAGCAUUUGUUGCAAAUUUUCAGCUGCUACUACUGCCAUUGGUUUUGCAAUUUUUGAGUUCUUUUUGGGUAUACAGAAUCCAAGAAAGACAUCCUGUCAAAUGAAGGACAACAGCUUCAUCUUUACAAGUGUUAUCUUUGUUUUUUUAUUAAUUUCUGCUGUUGAAACGGUCACAUGGGCUCAAACUCGAUACAAAAGUAAUACGGUUGUGAAGAUUUUGACUUGUAUUGGUUUGAAAUUGAGAAUGAACAAAAAGAAUUCAAACAAGUGGUCUAGUAGAUUUAGUCAAUACAACGUUGUGUACCAUCUAUACACUAAAUAUAUAUGGCUUGAAGUACCUUACAUUAUUAUUAUAUAAUUGACAUAAUUUUUUCACAACCAUUUAAUGAAAAUUUAACGGUUAUGAAAAUAUAAAGUAAUUAAAUCAUAUUAUUUCCACAAUCAUUGAAUUUUCAUCAAACGGCUGUUGAAGAAUUAUAUACCUUACAUAAUAAUGUAAGGUAACUAGCUCAAUAUAUAUAUUAAGUUAAAUUUGUGUUUUUUUGAAGGUGCAGAUGUUAUAAUAUUGUUAAGUAUUUAUGUGACGUUAAAUUCAAAUGUCUCAAAUUCAUUAGUACUACUUAAUUAUAUUCGUCUCAUUAAGAGUAUGUGCUACUCUAAAAAAAUGUUAACAAUUGAACUAAUUAAUACCUACGAGUGAAUAUUUUUUAUGGGCAUUUGUACUUGUUGAUCAAAUUUUUUGCAUCCCUAAAAGUUAGUACGAGAGUGGGAUUGAUAAUUAUUAAGUAACACACAAAAAUAGCCACUCGGCCUUUGGCCGAGUGGUGAGAGCUGCUGCUCUCCAACUUGGAGAGCAGCAGUUCGAACCCCCACAAUGCAUGUGGGGGUGUUUUCUUCCUCAAAUAAAAUUGAGUGAAGACAGUCUGCUUCCUUGCCCCAGUGCGAGGAGUAGACAUCCCUCGAAUAUUUGAGAGGGUUAAAAUCUGGGCAGCGCUCCAUUAGCAUUAAUGUAUGUUGAUCCCGGUUAUAGUCUGAUUUGUACAUAUCAGUUAUAUUCUCAUAUAAUAUGAGUUGUAAUCUGAGCAAUAGUCUCAUGUAAUCAAAAAAAAAAAAAAGUAACACACAAAAAUAACCGACACAUAAAAUGAAGUGUGACGUGUGAGAAAGGGAGAAAGAGAAGUGUUUGAUGCUAUAAUAUAUGUAAAUCUGAGCAAUCAAAUGAUCAAGGAAGCAUCCUCUUUUCAAGUUUGUGAAGAUCAACCAUGCACAUUUAAUAAUACGAUACCAAAAAAAAAAAAAUUGUUAAUGCUAAUGCUAUCCAUUUGGAGGAGCAGAUGGUUGGUGGGUUUAAUUUAAUUGUAAUAUAUGCAUGUAAAGAUCGAUGCCAGCUUUCUCAGUAGGUAUGGUUUUAUCAGGAAUGAGUGUUGACCUUAGCUAUAUGUCUUCUUUAAUUGAAGCCUGCGCUUGAACUUGAAGCAAAACAUAUUUGCUUGUGAAACCUUUCAACCGCCGUACGUUCUGAUUUCCCACCAAAUUUAGGUUAGAAAAAUCAGUUGUUGGGUAAAAUAAAUCCAGUGAUCAAAAUUAAAAGCAUAUGAUAUAUGAUAAGAUUUUCAUCUCUUUUAAGACCCUCGACACCGAGAAUCUCUCUUAACGUGUAUCUUUAACUUAUAUAUAAUACAUUAGUUAACAUAAUUUGUUCAAGCAUGGCUAGAAAAUUUGAAACUCAAGCUUAGAAAUUAAACAAUCAUGUGAUAGGCCACAUGCUUCCCUAAUUGUAUGAUCGUUUUGUUUUUCCAUUAUUUGUAGUUGACGAGGCUGGUGGGUUUUCCUUGGAUCCAUAUUAUGAUUAAUUGCCCUGAUUAGAAACAUUAUUAGCAUUUUUAUUUAGCAAAGUACUAAACAUGUUUCUGUUUUUUGCUUCAUAUAUAAGGUACCUAUAGUGCAUUUAUAUUUCUCCAAUUAUUUUUCUGUUCAUGUUGCAAGUGGGCUUACAAUUAGAUUCUUGUAGCGAGUUACAAAGCCUAAUCUAUGUACCAGAAUUCAGAAACAUGAUAAUUAUACAGCAUUUUUAUUAACAUGUACAACUGAAGAUAAAGAAAACAUGUUUCUGUUUUUUGUUCAAUUUUGUAUAGCUGUUGGUGUCAUCUCAUCAUUCAACCCCUUUGGUCACUGUGUUCAUACAUGCAUGCAUAAUUUUGAUGAUAAAUCAAAUGAAACGAAAACAUGAAAUAAGAGAAACAUGCGUGCCGAUAUAAUUUGAUCAAUUCAACUACUAAAUGUGCUUUCUGCAACAAAUUAAUUGUUUUAAAUGUUUCACCUCUGGCAUGCACUUAAAUUAAUUGGUUUUUAUACUUCACCUUCUUGACCUUUUUUACAAUUAACAAAGUCAACACCAUUUUAGAUUCAAUAAGUACUCAGUAUGAAAAUUAAUUGAUUCUGCAACGAGCUACUUGUUUUAAAUAAUUAAGUUGAACAAAAUGUCAAACACUUGUACAAAAAGAGGAAGUCAAAAGCUUGUUGGUGGAGAAAGACUAGCAAAGCAUUUUCAUGCCGAUUUGUACUUUAAUAGUAGUUUAAUGGUGAUUUCGUGCUCAUAAUAAUGUUGAAAGCAGUAGUUCGAGCUAGUAUCUUAAUAGAAAUAUUAUGAACCAUAUUAUAAAUGUAUAUAUUUAUGCUGCAUUUACUAAAUUGGAAUCGGAAUGAGCUGGAAUGGGAAUGGGUAAGAAUGGGAAUAAGGAAUGUGAAUCAAAAUAAGUUGUUUACUUGAACUGUAGGAAUCGAAAUCGGAUUGAACUGAAUUAUCAUUAAUGUGUUUAUUUUGUCUUGGAAUCGGAAUGAAUUAGAUUGUAACAAAUUACUAAAAAGUACUUAAUGAAUUAUUGUCAUAAUUAUUAUUAACUAAUAUAUUAAUUAAUUGUAAAAUUUUUAAUUAAUUAUAAUAACUAUAUUAAAAAUUAUUAUAAAAAUAUAUUAACUAAUAAUAUUAAUAUUAAUUACUUAAUUAAAAUAAUAUAUUAAUAUAAUUACUGUAAUAGCAUAUUAAUUAAUCAACUAUAAUAAUAAUAUAUUAAUUAUUGUGAUUAUUUAUUCAAGAACUAUAAUUUUUAAUAAUUAUAGUUAAUAAUAUAUUUAUAUAUUAAUUAAUUAAUUAUAAUAUUAUAUUAAUUAAUUAUAAAAGAGGAUAAAGUAGGCAUUUUUAAUUUUGGGGAGGACAAAAUGGUCAAUUCUAAGAAUGGGAGACUCAUUCCCACCUACCCCAUGAGAAUCAAUUUCACAUUUCCCAUUCUCAAAUAGUGCUGGGCCCCACCAUUCCCAUUCCGAUUCCGAUUCCUUCUCCAUAUUUGCGAAGUAAACACCAUCAAUCAUUCCAAUUAUGAAUUCUGAUUCCCCGAUCCGGCAAGUAAACACCAUCAAUCAUUUCGAUUCUGAAUUCUGAUUCCCCAAUCCGGCAAGUAAACACACUAUUAGAGUCUUAAUAGAUCCUAAAUUGUUACACAUUUAUAAUUUAUAACAAUUCCGAAAAAAAAAAAAGGAAAAAAAAAAACUUGUCUACAUGUCUCCACCAAUUCCCACAAAAGUAAAAUCAUUUUUCGUUUGUCAACAUCAAAAACUUGCAAGGGUAUGUUACCGAAAAGGAUAACGCAAAAACGAGGCUGACCAUUUCUUUGAUUGGAUUUUAAGAAACUUUUGCCUUCCCUUUUUUAUCUUUUGCACUUCUCUGUCUCAUGUUUUGAUAAUUGACUCGAUAUUUGCUUCAUUGACAAGCUAAACUUGGUGUGUGAGUUUUUGAGACGUCAUUUCAACAAGCUUGCUUGACAAGUUCUUAAGACUUGAAGGGGUGGGUAGUUGGUCAAUAUCUUGUUUAAUGGUUUGGUUUAUAAUAAUAGAGUAUUACUGGGUCCAUUUUCUUAUGAAUACAUCAAGUGCUCGCACCACAUUAUUAAAUCAAUUAAUAUACAUCUAAUAACUAAAAUUUUGGCAAUAUAUGCAUUGGGAGUAAAUAAAUUCAUCAAAUAAAGAUGGGAUAAUUCUUUCCUAAUAAUUAAAAUUUAGACGCACCUACGUUGAAUAAGGUGUAUAUUAUACCGUCACAAUCUUACGAUUUACUUAUUAAUAAUAUUGGUAACGAUUUUAUUGUUAUAUUUACAACCCAUGUCUUAAUUUAAAAUGUUAUACAUAAAAUUUAUAAAAGUAUAUAUAAUGGUAAAGUUAUUACUAGUCAUAAAAAAAAUUAUUUUUGAAUAAAGAAAAACUUGUGGUGGGUGCAACAUACGUAUAUAUGAUGCAAUGUAAUAUAGACCUAUCCAAGAUCAAACUACCUUGGUAUGGCGUGGCAUCACUCAAUGUAUAAUAUAUAAAAACAGAGAGGUCUCACUCAAUAUCUCAGUGGCUUUCACUUUCAAUUUAAAAUUUUUUUUAAUUAAAUGCUUAUGCUGAAUUUAUUUUGUGAGUGCAGCAAAAGCAAAGCAAAGCAUAGCGAAGGUCAAUGCAUGGCAUGGCAAAUGGCCACUCUUAACGCGCAAACCCACCACCGAACCGAAGCGACAGAAUUAGUGAAGUCAGAUUUCUAGGUUUUAAAUUAAUAUGCAUCAGCCACCGUCCGUCGCGUCUUGGGGAAACAAAUGGACGGUGAUGGGCAGCUCCUAUGAUGUUGAUGGCCUUUGAUUCGGCCUUUUCUUUUUCUUCCGUGGGCCAUGUGUCGGUCUCUUUCAUAUUUCAAAGGAUUCUCCGCCGGACCGAGUUUUCUCGCCAUUUCUUGCUCAAAACUUCAACCCUUUUGACCCUUCAAAGGCGUUUUCGUUCUUGUUUUUGUUUUUCUAGUUUGCGUGGAUUCACAGUCAGCUAUAGUUAAAUUCGAAAGUGGUGAUUUCAACAACACACAAUAAAUAUUGGACGAUCGAUAAAUUUUUCAAAUGUUUACACUGAUCAUUUCGUUCGUUUACGCAUACGGCAUAUCUAUUUAUAUGAAAAUGAAUUCCAACCUACAAUUCUGAUAGAUUUAUAGCGUGACCCCGUGUUUAUACGUUUUACAAGUGUGACGUUUUUUAUACUUUUUAUAUUUUAUCGGUAUCCAUUUUUGAAUUUGAAUGUUAUAAGUUCGACAACCCCCACUUAAACGAGCCAACCAUACGGUAAGAAAAUCGAGUCCAUGUUGCAUUUAAUAAUGGUCUCAGCUCUCAACUCAACCUAAUAUGAUAACACUUCGUCGCCAUUGACUCCACGAGAAACGUUUUCUUGCUCUAAUUUGUUGUCGCUCUUGUUGAAAAAUGAAGCUUCUAUUAAUGCCUUGGAAAUGUGGGAGCCAGCCAGCUAGCUAGCAAGAGUUGGCAUCAAGGACUAGGAUUAGAAAAUACAAGUAACAUAAAAAAGAAAAUUUAAAAAAAAAAAAAAAAAAACAGGGUGGCAAUAUAUUUUGUGUGGUCCAAGGUCCAGUCGUGAUAUAAUUAGUUCAAAGAUAUGGUUUUGGUUAGAGUAAUUAAAAAGAUGUGAAGAUUUGGGCCAACUUAGAACAUGACUUUUUUUUAUUAUUGUUAAAUGCUUAUUACCAUGUGCAAUUACCCAAAAAAAAAAAUUGUUACCAUGACCCCCAAAAAAAAAUUGAACAUAACUAAUACUUUUAUAUAAAAUGUAAUCUACUUUUUUGGCCAUCAAUAGUUUCUUAUCGAUUGUGUGAGGAUAUGAUAUUAUGAUAUCAAUUUGAAUUCUGAUCCUCGUUGAUCUCAACUAAUGAUCUUUGCAAUAGUUUUGUUAGGAAAUGAUUUUUCUCAAAGCCUCUUUUUCUCAAAUCGUGAAUACUCGCUCUUUUGCCUUUUUCCAAAAUAAUAAUAAUAAUAAAAGGAAAAAUAAAAUUUAAUUUACUCCAUAAAAGUGUAAAAGCAUCAAUAUAUUCCUAUCUAAUGUUAAGGAGAUUAAAAAAAUAAAAAUUAUCAACACACACUUCAUUUACCAUCAUCUCUCGAAUAAAAAUAAAGAUGAAUUAAAAAUUUUUACACUUUUGAAUGUCAUUCUAUCUAAAACUGAAUUAAAGUUUACUCCAUUGCUAAUUACAUAAAGACCAACAAAUAAAAAUGUUGAAAAGGCAAAUCCGACUGGCGUCAACAAGUCAACCGUUAACGCUGACUUUUUUCAAUCGGUCUUUUCGUCAGCGCAUUUGUAUUCCGUGCACCGCAACUGCACGCCAUACGGUGCACAUGCGCUUCACUGACGUCGGUGCUGCUGCUGCGAAAAGCAAAAGCGCGUCUUCGGUCACUCGGAUUUUGUCACACCUACACAGCUGGCAUUAUUUAAUUCGCCAGCGUGCUCUCCAGCUCUGCCGGGCGGUUAUGCUAUCACUUUUGUGUCUUAACCAUACGACACGUCGUAUGUUUCUAUUAAAGCUUUGAAUUUUGAGCUUCAUUAAUACGCAAAUACCCAUCUUUAUUGUCUGUAUUAGAAGCAUCACUAGUGAUGUUGAAAUUUGCUGUAUUUACAAGGUUGGCAUUUUCUUUUAAGAUUAUAUAUUUUUAGAAAAUAAAAGAGACUCAAAAUUUAUUCAAUAAUAAUAUAAUAUAUGAUAUAUAAUGUUAUUUUUUUCUUUUUUUUUUAAUAUAAAAAGAUACAAAUUACAUCAUACUAAUUUGAUCAUCUGUACGUUUCGAAAAUUCGUUUCUUUAACAUGUUAUACAACUUUCGAACGUCAAAAAUCAUAUGCAACGUAUUGAAAAAUAUAUUAAGACGUACAACAUUUUUAAACUCCAUACUAAUCCUCAAUCUUGAUCAUGAAUUAAAAUAUUAAUAGCAUUUGCAUCAAAUCUAAUCAAAGAACACCAAUAUAAUUUUCCGCUUGUUUCAAGGGAUUUGAGUGUCUGUGUGUUAGGUCCGUUUUGUAUCACAAAUAACGGGCAAUGCCACGUGGUUGAAUUGACAGUUGACACGUGGACAUAGAUGAUACCUAAGCCCCACAAUUCUUCUUCUACAUAGUACGGUGCAAAGUACCCAUCUCUAAAUAUUGCAUGGAGAUCUGAAAUUGACAGUUGUAAGUGACAAGGUUAUGUCUUAAUUUUUUUUUUUAAUUUAUUGUUCUUUACAUUUAAAAGCUAAAUAUUUCCUUAAAAUAAUUUGCUUUCUCCAGUUUGACUUUGAUGUGCUUCAAAUUUCAAUUCAAAAAAAAAAAAAAAGAUCAUAGAUUUUGAGGGAUUCUAUCCCACAAUUUAUAUGAAGUAUAAUUUUCUUUUAUUUUCCACUAUACAUUUAAAUAAUUUAUUAAAAAAAUUCUAUUUUUUUUUUAUAACAUAUCGUAUAAAUUAAGAUCCGUGAUUAAAAUUUGAGACUCGUAAUGAUAAAUUUGAAAUGCGUAUGGAAAGUUAGAAAAGUUUAUAUUAACAACACAUGUUUCGUACAGUAGUUGCCCUAACCCUAGAUUAUAUGCUAGGUUCUUUUCUUUUCUUUUCUUCCAUGGGCAAAAGUGAGGUGGCAAUGGGGAUUCUUACUAAUAUUUUAGAGGCGAGAUAUCUUGAAUGGCGAUAUUAUUCUUUACCCAGGAUAAAUCAAGGAAAUAAAAACAGAAACAUUUGUUGGCAUUCUUAGAUUAUGGUCAAAAUGCAACGGUUUGAUUACAUUAUUUGCUUUUAUUUUAGAGGUGAUAUUAUCUUUAAUUAAAGAUUUUAUUCUAUGCUUUAGAUAAAUUAACUAAAAAAAAAAAAAAAACAAUGUGUUGGCAUCCAUAGAUUAUGGCCAGAAUAUCAUAAUGAUAUUUAGACUACUCCAUUGUUAAUUUGCUUAAUUAGUUGUCUUCUGUAAGUCACGUAGCAUAUAUAAAAUAAAUGGCUGCAUAACAUUGUUAUUUCAUUGAUUUUAAGUUGCGAUAUUGUGAUUAGUAAGAUUGAGGUUAGUCUUAACCCAUAUUUAGUUAGGCCAUUAGAAAUCGAUUACUUUAUAAUUUCAUGUGAUAAUUAAUCAUAUUAUUUUCCGGUAAUUAGUACCAUCUCUCGGACCCUAUAGAGUGUAUACAUAGUACCUUUACUAUUCAACCAAUACAUAGUCUCAUUCGAUAUAAAGUUGUCUACUUAAUUAUUUCUUUAUAAAUAGACGGCACCUCUUCUCGUGGUUGGUUCACAUUCAAUUGGAUAUAAUUGAUUGCUUUGAAACAUAAAAAAGGAACAAUAGCAAAUUAAAAAAAAAAAGAAAAAGAAACAAAGCUAUCCUCAUUUCAUGAUUCAUUGACUAAGGUGGAUAUUUAAUAUUUUUUAACUUUUUUUCCUCAUCACGAAUCAACCCUUUGUCUAACUUUUCUCUAUCAAGAAUCCAUAAAAGAAUCUAUGAAGUAAGCUGCCAAGUAACCAAAAAUCUUUUAAUAAUACUUCCGACACAUAAAUUAUUUUUAUACUCAAAUAAUUUUUUUUUUUUCAUUUGGUGCAAACACUAAUUAAAUUUCUAAGUACGCGUAUAAUUUACUUUACAUGUAUACACAGUUAAAUUUAAUCCAUAUUAUGUGUACUACAUAUAUAAUCAUGGUAUGUAUGUUAAUUAUUUGAAUGCAAGAAAAUUAAGAAGUCUUAAUCAUGGUAUGUAUGUUAAUUACACCAUACAAUUAAUGAAGCUGACUAUCGAAUUUUUACUGUCCUUUGUUAUUUAAACUGUUAUAAAAAUAAUAAUAAUAAAAUAUUAAAGAAAAAUACACACAUAGGACACUCCAAAAUAUUCUAAAAUUAAUGCACAAUUAAAUAAAAAUUGAUUGUAUACACCUACCUAUUUUGGGAUUUAUUCGGGAUUAGUUAAUUAAGCAGCUAGUGCAAGGCAUUGUACCCCAAAAUGUGACCUACACCAAAAAUGCAUGCAUCCAAACACAACCCACCAAAUAUCAAUCACAUCAAUAUUGUUGUGUAAUUAAUAUACGCUUAGACAAAUAAUAUUAUUGUAUUAAAUUCUAGUAAUUACCUUAAUCAAGUGCUUAUUAACAUUAACAAGAGACAAGCUUUUGACUUAUUAAAUAUGAACCUUUUGUUACAUCUCUCUGUAAGAUACUCUAAGUCAGCUUGUGGGUCUUUAGUGAAAAAUGCACCGAAGUUUCAAUGGCUUUGAACUUUCAAUUUCACAAAUUCUUUUCUUUUAUCAUAUCAAUCUACAUCGCUCCACGUGUACAAGCCCAUCAUCAAAACAACUCAACUAAUUAAAUUAAUCCUCAUUUAGAAAAUAAAAACUUCUAAAUAUCCCAGAAAGUUGGUAAAUCGGUAGAAUCAUAUAUAUAUUUUUUUCGUUUUAUUGAUUGUUAAGCUUAUUAUAGUAUACUUAAAGAGUUGUCCCCAUUAACUUAAUUGAACAAUUUUUUAGUAGUUUCUAAUUUUGAAAGGGGUAAAGAAUUAAGAAAUUGAUCUAAAUUUUGCCUGCCCUCUACUUUUCAAAAAACAUGAAAAAAACAAAAAUUUUGACUUAAUUUUAAUUAAGCUUAAGAUUAAAAGCUUCCAAGUUAAGCUACCGUGCUGUUUACUCUUAGACGCUAGGAAUAUCCUAUGACAUAAGCCAUUGCGAUAAAUUAAGAUUAAGUCAACUAAUCUCACUUGACCAACGACUAGUGAAAAAUUCAACUUGUACUUUUUCAAGAAAAUUUAAUAUUAAUUACUUUCCAAGAAAAUAUUCUAUCUAUUAUCUAACUUUUACUUGACCAAGAAUACAAACAAUUACGUACAUUAAAUUUUUAGCUACACAAACUACCUUCGUGUUUAGCAUUAAUUCCUCAAUUGAUGAGAAAUUUCUCAUACCUACUUUCAAUAAAAUCUAUAUAAAUUCUAAAUAUGAAAAAUUAGUAAUACAGAAAAUCUACAUACGUAGCAAUCUUUGAAGUCUAAUUACUCAUAAUUGAAAACUAAUAAUCUGGUAAGCAACGAUGAUUGCUUUAUGAGGAACAACUACUAUUUGGUUAAUUCAAAACUUCAACUUGAGUCAUAAGAUAUUACUGAAUUAUGUUAUAUACGCACAUAUUUGUAUAAAUUAAUAAUUGUCUUAAAAAGGGUCGAGAAUCCCAAAUAAAAGUAAAAUUUUAUGAUAAAGUAUUUAAUAAAAUGACCAAUCAAUUAAUUAUACUUUUUUGUUUUAUAUAAACAGAGAUGAAUAUAAUUUCUUACUUCCCAUGAAUCAAAUAAAUAAAAAAGUUUUAUAAAAUUAUUUGUGAUGGGUCAAAAAAUAUAUUAUGGGGAUUAUUACACACAGUCCACUCCACGUGUUUAGAAAAAGAAAACACUUUUUUUUUUUUUCUUUUUCUUUCCCUGCUUCUUCGUGUGUGUUGUGUCCGAAGCUGGGACUCACAUCAGUUUAUUUGUCCCUCUAUAUAACUCUUUUCUCUCGAUCAAAAUACAAUGACGAGGUUACCAACGGUAUCUUUCUAACAUACAAGCUUGAAAAGCUCAAACUCAGCUUCUGUUUUUAGAAAGAGGGAAAAAAAAAAAAAGGAAAAAUAUCCAAAAUCUUCACCCUUUAGACUCGGAAUCCAUUUGCCAUUUAUAAGUUACAAGCCAUCCUCAAUUCAAGGUAAUGCAUGCAGCAACGCAAAAUACCAUUUUUUGUUUCUUUUUCUUGCUUGGUGUUUUCUGUUGUGUUUUGCUUCAUGGAGAGUUGCUGCAAAUGGUGAAUAUGUCUUCUUUCUUUUAUUGAAUUAUUGCAUUUGUUUGUUGGGUUCUUGGUGAUGUUUUUUGAAGAGGUUCGCUUUGGUUUUUUGUUUAUGAUUCAUCUUUUAUGGUAAUUCAUUUGUUCUUUUCGUAAAAAAAUUUGAUUUGAUUAAUGGGUUCUUCUAGAUCUUUGCUGUUUGUUGAUGGUUUUGUUUCAUCAAAUUAAGUUUGCAUGUCAGCAUUAUUGCAUGAAUAUUCUCCAUUUUCACACAUCCAUUUCGUUGUUUAAUGACAGUAAUUGCAUUUUUGAGUAACAAAAUAGAUUUUAUGGAUUCGGUUUUGUUUCUUCAUUGAUUUUUCAUAUGAAAAAUUGAUCUAGUGUUUGGUAGCUGGAAAAUUUUUCCUUUUUGGUUUACAUGUUUCAUUGGCAUACGAGUCAUUUGACGUAUUGUUGGUUUGUUUGAACAGGAAUCUAAAACAAAUAAGUGCUGAUGGGAGUUUCAGUUUCGUGCCCAUUUGCGGAAUACAGUGAUGUGGAAAGUGGUUUAGAAUCAGUCAUUGUAAAGUCCAUUUGCUUUGGAGAUGAGGAAGUGAAGACGCCGGUUCGAUCUGUGAGCUUCAAUAGUCAAGAUUUGGAACCAACAAUAUUGAAAUCCUUAGGUUGUGGGAAAAUGGUGAAAGAAAGAUCGGUUAGUUUUAAAGAAUGUGAGUUGGAGGCAAUGAUCUCUCGAACAUCAUCUUUAUCAUCAGACAAAGAAAAGGAUGAGUCCAUUAGAUCAAUCAGAAUAAAGGUAAACGAAAUGGAUAAUCAAUCUCCAAGGUCAGAAGAUUCUAUGGAGACAAUCCAACAAUUUCCGAUUUUGGAUCCCAAUAACCCCAAGCAUGAAGCUGCAAUAAAAUUGCAGAAAGUAUACAAAAGCUUCCGAACAAGGAGAAAGCUAGCUGAUUGUGCAGUUAUUGUUGAGCAGAGCUGGUGUGUAUUAUUUGUUGAUAUUGCAGGUAUUGUUCACAAAGUUCUAUAUGUUUUUAGCUUGUUCUAAUGCAACAACCUGUAUUGUUCUAGGUGGAAGCUCUUAGAUUUCGCUGAACUCAAGCGAAGUUCUAUAUCGUUCUUUGAUAUAGAGAAAAAUGAAACUGCCAUUUCACGUUGGUCAAGGGCCAGGACCAGAGCUGCUAAGGUAACUUUCAAACUCAUAGAUAUAUGAUUUUGUGUAAGGAAGCAUUUUUUUGUUUCUGGUAUCUAAUUGUUUUCCUUGAUUUUGUAGGUUGGAAAAGGUUUAUCAAAGAAUGACAGAGCACAAAAACUUGCCUUACAACACUGGCUCGAAGCAGUAAGUCAUUUGGAUAAUUCAAACUUUAUUAGCAAACGGAUUUAGUAUGUAUAAUCACUUCUACAUUUUCUGUUGCUGAUUUAAAAGCUUUGUUUCUAAUGUUAAACAGAUUGACCCACGGCAUCGUUAUGGACAUAAUCUACACUUCUAUUAUGAUAAAUGGCUUCAUAGUCAUAGUAGAGAACCCUUCUUUUACUGGUAAGACACUUUAACUGAAACCUUUUUGCUUCACCGAUUUGAAUUAUGUGACGGUUUUAAGUUAAUGGUAGAUUCACUGGUUUGAAAUUCAGGGUCGAUAUAGGGGAAGGGAGGGAAGUAAAUCUUGUUGAUAAAUGCCCUCGAUGGAAGCUUCAUCAGCAGUGCAUCAAGUAUCUUGGUCCGGUAAGCCUCUAUUUCUUUCCUUGGUCAUCCUUUAUCCUAAAUUUUUUAUAGCUUAAAACUUUACUUAUAAAUUGCUUUUGAUCUACAGAUGGAAAGAAAGCCUUAUGAAGUUAUCGUGAAGGACGGAAAAUUCUUUUACAAGCAGUCAGGGUUGAUCCUCGACACAAAUGUGGAUAUUGAUUCUAAGUGGAUCUUUGUCCUAAGCACAACAAAAUCCUUGUAUGUUGGCAAAAAAAGAAAAGGAACAUUUCAGCAUUCCAGCUUCUUGGCUGGAGGAGCCACAACGGCUGCCGGGAGAUUAGUUGUUGAAAGUGGCGUCCUUAAGGUAAUCUUUUUUUUUUUUUUGGUUAUUUUAUCUCAACUUUGUGUUUCUUGAACUUAUUGUCUUUAAUUAUCAAGAUAGUGUCUUUUGAUGACUUUUUUUUUUUCCCCUGCUUUUCAACAGGCAGUUUGGCCUCACAGUGGUCAUUAUCGCCCUACAGAACAAAACUUCAAUGACUUUAUCUCAUUCCUUAAAGAGAACAAUGUUGAUCUCACAGAUGUCAAGGUAAAAAUAUAAAGAUACGAAUUCUUUUGUAAGUUUCUCGAUAGAGGGAAGUAAAAGAGCUUUUUCUGACAAUGCGUUCAUUCUGAUGUAAGCAGAUGAGUCCAGUAGAUGCAGAAGAAGCCUCAGAUGGUAAACAAAGAAAUAGUAUGCACAUUAGGAACCACUCAUCUGAUGAGGACUUGGUUCAGGCCCUUGACGAAUUAGAGACUGAAGAGAACAAUGUCGAAGACUUGAGUCAAGACAAAACUGAUUCAACAAAACACGAAACUACUCCUUCGAAAGGACUUCAAAAGUUGGACAGUUUCCAGAAGUUUAGUAUGAAAUUGCCUAGUAUUGAAGUACAAAAAAGGAGUGAGCUUUUAGAAAGACCAGAGAGUAACAUUCCAGCUUUUAAGCCGAGUAGCAACAACCCAUCAGUAGAAUCUCAAAUGAAUGUUCCUGGUUCUGUAGAAGGAGCAUAUGUUUCUAAACCAGAAAUCAAAAAUUCAAAGCAAGAGUUGUCAAAUGACGAAGAUGCAGAAAAUGAAGUAGAACCAGUUCCUGAAGAAGCAAUUCUCCAAAGGAUAAAUUCGCGUAAAGGAAUGAAGUCAUAUCAGUUGGGGAAGCAGUUGUCCUGCAAAUGGACAACGGGAGCAGGUCCCCGCAUUGGCUGUGUAAGGGACUAUCCCUGUCAACUCCAGUUCCGAGCUUUGGAGCAGUUAAACUUGUCUCCAACAAGUGCUGGCUAUAGUAGAUCUAGGUCGUCUCCUCACACAAUCGGUAGAUAUAACCCACUGAUGCCCUCACCACUGCAUCCUCACAUGAAAAUGGAAGCAACUGUAAGCUUACCCGUGCCCGGGAAAGGAAAUUCAUUAAUUGAAGCCGUUCGCCUUUGUAGAACCCAGUCCUCCCCAUUAGAAGAUCAGUAGAUGCUGUAGAAUCACAUCCUAAAUGACCAGUUCUUUUGUGUGAAUAGAGAAGUUGGUAGGAAUUCUUUACGUUCUUUCAAAUUAAAUUCAUGUACACUUUUUUUUUUUUCCCCCAAAGUGUUGUUUAACAUAUACAUCAAAAUAAAAAAAAAAAUCUGUAAAAUUUUUAAUUUUGUGGCUUUAAUGCCUUUUCAAUACAAAAGAAAAUAUUCAUUCUUUAUUUUCUGAUGUUCUAAUUGCCGCUAAGACAUUUAAUAUAGGGUUUGCAGAAACUUUUGCUGCAAGGAAAUUGCCUAAAGCAGAGUAUGAAUCAUUUCAGAAAAUUAUCUCAACUCACAGACGAGAGUGAAAGUUCUGUGUUGAGGUCUAGAAGCUGAAGUUUCUUUUCGAUUAUAUAUAUAUAUAUAUUUCAUUUUAUAAAUUUUAUCAAAAGCCUGUCCAAUCUCCAUGGGGCCGUCAAGUGCUCGAGAUUCUGACUGUGUCUCCAAAAAUCAAUUGGACGACGACUGAACUGGACUCAGAUGGGAAUUUUGGAGAAACUAUUGUUAACAUAUUUGAUUGAAUAAAUGGGAAGUGUAAAUAUUUUGAACAAGAAAAGUGGGAUGCUAUAAACCAUCAAUGGAAUGAAUCCAAAGAGCUCAAACACAAGGACAAGCUGCAAGAAUGGCCGAUAUUGUUCAGUUUUCAAGUGCAUGUCAGGUUGUUCAAUAACACCACCAGUGCCUGGUGGCUUUGUCUUUUGGCAUGGCACCAAAUUCAGAAAGCUUUUAUUUUGCAUUCAAUUCCAAAAUGAGAAAAAGUUAAAGAUGGCCCUCCACUACCAUUUGUUUUGUUGGUUUCACUUUCACCUUUACAGAGGUGUAGUAUCAUUUUUAGCCUCUACUAAAUAGUUUGAAGCACCUUAAUGAUUUGAAAAAUUAGGUAACGUUACGAAGCAAAUUUGCAUGAGUUUAUUUUCAGAUAAGCUAUCAAUAUUGGUUUGAUUUACUCCCCAAGUACGAAUGAGGCUGCCAAAUUGAAAAUUAGCAUAAUUUUUGUUGGUAUUUUAUGUUAUAAAGCACAAUUAUUAUCCCGAGUUGAUGAUAAAAACAAAUAGAAAUGCCAUAAAUUGAUAUUUAAAUUUUAAUAUUGAAUAGUUGAGUUAGGUACCGGAGGGAAAACUCUUGAUAGAAUGCAGGAUUCAGGAAGAAAAUCAACUCAUAAACUUAAAUUUUUAGUUUUAUUGAAGUUUAUUUAUUUCAAGAUUGUAAAAAUUUACACACAAUAUUCAGGAUGAUUUAUUUAUUUAUUUAUUUUCUUUGCUGUUAAUUUAGAAAAUGAAUUGCAGCAAGAAUAUAUAUCUAUAUAUUUUCAAGCUUACAAAAUUAAUAUCAUCUAUAUCUUUUGGGAUAAAAAUUCUCUAUACUAAUUAUUAUUCCAUAAACAUUGUUGCAGCAUGGCUACAUAAUUGCCACAUUACAAGCUCAGUGAGUAGAGUUUGGAUAAAUUAUUGGAUCUCAUUCAUCUUGUAUUUACUAAUUAAUAAUCAGAAUGAAAUGGACGGGAAUCCAAAUCAUGAAUGAAAAUAAGAAUAAAUUGUUUAUUUGAGUUACAAAAAUAGGAUUGAGAAUCGGAAUGAGCUUAAUUUCUAUUGAUGUGUUUACUUUGUCCUAAAAUCGGAAUGAACUAUUUUAAUUUACUAAUAUACUCCUUGUUAAUUAUUGUUAUUUGAUGAUGAUGAUAAUAAUAAUAAUAAGUAAUAGUAAUAAUUAAAAAAUUAAUAACAACAACAAUGACAAUAAUAAAUUUUAUAAUAAUAAAAAUAAAAAUAACAACUAAAAUAGUAAUUAAUAAUAAUAAUAAUAACAUUAUUAAAUUUACAUUUAUUAUAAUAAUAACUAAAAUAGAAAUAAUUAAUAAUAAUAACAACUGCAUUAAUAAAUAAAUGCGGGGACAAUUGGUGACGAGGGGCGCGACUCCGAUCCGCCGGUGACGAGCUGCUAUGAUACGUGGACGACGACGAGUGCAUGACGUAGGAAGAAACGGCAACGACGAGCGCGAGCACGAACAGCUGUGAUGUGGAAAACGAGCACGAGCAGCUGUGAUGUCAGCGACAGCACGUGCAACAUCGAUGAUGAGUACGAUCAUUUUCCUUUGGGCAGCGGCUGCUUGCUUAGGUUUUCAUUUUUUUUUUUUCAAAAUUUCCAGAGAGGGUAUUUUGGGGAUAUUGGAGUUGUAGCGGGGGGAUAAUUUCGUCAUUUUAAGGAAUACGGUUCUAAUUUCUCCUGGUCCAAAAUUUAUGUGGACCCAUCCUCAAUUUAACAAAUAAAUAAGUUAUUUAUUCUGAUUCCCUAUCUUUAUUCCGGAUUGCUAAAUAUAGCAUCAAUCUUUCCCAGCUAAAUAAUUAUAUCAAGUUAAUUUUUUUUUUCUUUCAGUAUAAAGUGCAGAACAUCAUUAAAAUUUGAAAAAAGAUCAGCAUGAUUUUCAAAUUUAUCUAUUAAAAAUCCGUAAAGUGUAGAAAGUGGAAGAAAAUAUAUGAAAAGAACCUCGGUUGCUGCAGAAAAGACAAAAAUUUUGCUGUAUCUUCUCACGUUGUAGUUCCCAAACAUUCAAAAAAUCGCUCACUUUUUAUCAAAAGUUGAACCCAAAAACAAAAAGCACUCAUUCCCUCCUCUCAUGUCUUUCUUUCCCGUGACUUUAUAUCCACCUCUCAAAUAUUCUCUUCACUGUUCACACCUCAUCUCUUUCUAGCUACUAGUGUUAACUUGCUGCUACUUACACUCACUCGCUCCCUCCCUUCUGAAUACAAGCUAAGUUUGGCACCAUUUUUUUUUGCUGCUGAAAUGUGUGAAAUUUUGCUGGCUCAGCUGAAUCCUGAGCUACCCAUCAAGCAUUUUCACGGUAAGUGUGGUAAAGUUUGCUGCUUUAGCAGGUUUAGUUCUGUUUUGGUUGUGUUUCUGUUUCUGGGUUUUGCAUUUAGUGGCAUAUGUGAUGACCUUGCUAUGGUUUCGGUACCUCUUGGUUUUGAGGUUUCUGGGUUUGAUAAAAGCAAAACUUGGGUGUCUGAAAAUGGUGUCUUUGCAUUUGGGUUCUUGGAUACUAGCUCAAAAUAUAGUGAUAGUGAUGGAUUUGUUGUGGGGAUUAGGUUUAAUUUAAAAGAUAAAGCUGCAAAUCUGCCUGUUUGGGCUAUUGGUGGUGGUCUUAGAGUUUCUGAGAACUCUACAAUUAGGCUCAAUUUGGAUGGUAGGUUGAUUUUGUUUGAAAACCCUAGUGGUUUGAUUGUUUGGAGCAGUAAUACUUCUAAUUUAGGUGUUCAAAAAGCUACUUUAUUGAACAAUGGGAACUUACUGUUAAUGGGUAGUGAAGAUAAUGUGCUUUGGGAGAGCUUUAAUAGCCCCACGAACACUCUCCUUCCUGGUCAGUCUUUCCAUUUUCCGCGGGUCUUAAGAGCGCCUUCAACAAAAUCCAUCUCUAGUUAUUACAAUUUUGUGAUACGCCGUUCUGGUGAGCUUGCUCUUGUGUGGGAAAGCAAUGUGACUUACUGGAGGACUCAUUUGAGCUCCUAUGGUGUUGCUAAGGAAGCAAGGUUUGAUUCUAUUGGUGUUUUGCGGCUUUUCGAUGCCAGUAAUAAGACGGUUUGGUCCGCGUCGAGUAAGGAUUUUGGAGACCCUUCUGUGGUCUUGAGGCAUCUUAGGAUUGAUUCAGAUGGGAAUUUGAGAAUUUACUCGUGGGACAAUGAGGCUCAUGUGUGGAGGGUAGGGUGGCAAGCAGUUCAGAACCAGUGUGAUGUGUUUGGCUUUUGUGGUUUGUACAGUGUAUGUGGGUACAAUUCCACGGCCACCGUUUGUGAUUGUCUGUCGGAGGCUUCUGUAAAUUGGGGAAAUGACCUGCCUGCGGUGGAUACAGUCAAUACUGGCUGCAGGAAAAUGGUGGAUUUGGGGAACUGCAGGUUGAAUACCAGCAUGAUGAUUCUGAAGCAGACAGUUCUUUAUGGUCUUUAUCCUCCUCUAGAUGUUGAUUUGAUGCUGAGCGAGGAAGCCUGUAAGGAGUUCUGCUCCAAUGACUCUACUUGCGUUGCAGUAACUUCAAAGAACGAUGGUUCAGGGCUUUGCACAAUCAAAAGAACAAGCUUUAUUAGUGGAUAUAGGAAACCAUCUACUCCUGCAAAUUCUUUCUUGAAAGUGUGCUUGGUCCCUCAGGCAGUUUCUGCUAGAGGUGCUAAUCCUCACAACAAUGUCAAGCCAAUUCCUAUUUCAUCUAAAGGAUUAGAUGAACGUAGUGGCGAUGGUAAAGCUUUUGUGGGAGCCAUUUCCUUGAUAAUUCUGGUGACAGUCUCAGCCUUUUUGAGCAUUGAGAUGUUUGUGUUUUGGGUUAUGUAUCGGAGACGUAAAACUAAGGCUCAAACAAGGAUCCCUUUUGGAAAAGAUGCUCAAAUGAACCCACAUUACAGUGUUCUCAUCAGAUUGUCCUAUGAAGAGGUGAGAGAGCUGACUGCAAACUUUGGGAAUCAACUCGGCCCCUCUGUUUAUAAAGGUUUACUUCCCAACAAAAUGCCAGUAAUUGCCAAGGUGAUGAACGUUGUAGCAACUGAGAAAGACUUCAGGAGGGUAGUUUCUACCUUGGGUGCAAUGCACCACCGGCAUCUUGUAUCAAUAAAGGGAUUCUGUUUUGAGUCUGAACAUGCUAUUCUUAUUUAUGAGUAUGUCCCAAAUGGCUCUCUUGAUAAUUGGUUAUUCAACAUGGAGCAGGCUCAGGUUGAAAGGAGUUGGCAGCAGAGGCUUGAUAUUGCUCUAGGAGUUGCUCGAGCCCUUGCUUAUUUGCACUUGGAAUGCCAAACUUGUGUUUCUCAUGGGAAUCUGAAGCUUGAAAAUGUCAUGCUUGAUGAAAAAUUGGUUCCUAAAGUGACAGAUUUCGGGCUUAGAAGCUUACUUGCAAAGGAGACAGCUUCUUCUUUGGAGUCCCCAUCUGAGAGAGAUAUUUACAUGUUUGGGGAAAUGUUGCUUCAAAUUGUUACAUGCAAGACAGACAUAUUAGGCAGCGAUCUGCGCGAUCUUGUUAACAAGAUCAACGGAGAACUGAAUUCAGAGGACAAUAGAGUGUCUGAAGGAGUGGAGAGAGCCCUGAGGAUAUCAUUGUGGUGUAUGCAAAGCCAACCAUUUUUACGACCUUCCAUUGGCGAAGUUGUGAAGGUAUUAGAAGGUACAUUGUCAGUAGAUAGGCCCCCAUUGAAUUUUGCUUUUAGAGAAGACCAGAUGGGUUAGAAUCUUAGCUGAGAUUUUAAGGUAGAUUCUUAGAAGAAAGUGAUUGUAAGUAACAAUCUUACUAACCAUGUCAGUUUCGACACCUCAAUUUUUAGGUAUGAGAGUCUAGAAAAUCUCCAGCAGCUCAAUGUUUUUGCAAGAUUGAGCCCGAAGAACUGUAAAAAAAAUUUGUACGAUAUAGGCACUCUUUAACUACAUUAUGCAAAAUGUUUCAAUGUUAGUGUCUUGAGCAACAUGCCCAGAUUUGUGUGCUAGUUCAAAAUUUCUUAAUUGAAUAUGCAAUGUAUGCGACUGCCAACAAGUGCACUUUAUAUCUAAAAUCAUAGCUCUAAUAUAUUAUCGUUACCGUAGUCCACAACCACACACAACCGCUAGUCCACAACUACAAUCAAACCCAUAUCUAGCAGUAUCAAAAUUUUUGGUCUAACCAGUAAGCUCAUUUAUUUUUAAGUUGUACUUUUAUCUUCGAAAUGUUUAUUUGUUAAGGUUUUGGGAGCUUGUAACUUAUGUUUAUCUUGAUGAUUAUAUAAUAAAAUAACUCUUUAGCUCGUAAUAAUAACUAAUAUAGGCAUUCAACUUUUAAAAUUCAUAGCACAUGCAUUCUCAACAGCAUAAUUUAUCAAACGCCAAACUCGGACUAUGUCCAACUGAUUAUUUUAUUAGAACAGCAAAAAUAAGAUAAGACAAAUAAUUUUGUAACCAAUAUAUUGGUUAAUUCCAAAUCAUAAUAACUGCCAUUAAUGUUGUUGGUUGCCCAAUAAUAAAUAUAGCAAUUAAUGUAAUAAAUAGUCAUCAAUCCAUAUCUUCCAGCUUCUAAUCAUCAUCAUGGAAAGUUUCCCAACUUCUGUCAUUCUUUUGAUUUUUCUCUUCAUCACUUGUAAAAUUUUCAUUAAAUCCAUGUCAUAGUUUUAAUAAUUAUUUAAUUAUGUGUUGAUGUCAAAAUCUGAUCUAAUCGGUUAGUGACUUAAUAUCAAAUUCUUACACCAGCAUUAAAUUUAUCUGGUGGAGAAUUGACUGGUCAAUUGUCAAAAUGUCUGCAACCACCAGUGAUUAACCUACGAAUACAUGAAAUCACAAAAAAAGGUAAGAGGUGCCGGAAGUUUUUCCGGAGUGAACCCUCCGACACUCAAGUUAGUUUAUGGGUUUACUAUAAUAAAAAUAAAUAAUUUCUAUUUAAAACAAAAAAUAGAGAUCAAAAGCUCAAAAAUAAAACCCAAUCCCAACAUGAAGAAUGGAUUUCUCUUUUUCUUUUUUUUUUAGCUUGUCCAAAUCCUUCUGCCUCUAAGAAAAACAUAAUAGAGAAGCAAGUAGCCCUCCUCCCUAGGUAACACCCCACUCCCCUCUUUUAUUCUCCCCCUUUCCGUUUCCUUCUUUUGCUCACUAUCCUUUAUAAUUUUUUAUGCUUUGUCUCCCCAAAAUAGCCUUUGAAUACACAAGUAAAUGUCUAGUUUACUUAAUAAUAAGUUGCUUGAGGUUUUAAGUUUGUAAAAAAUUAUAAACUCUAUAAUUUCCGGUCUUGAUUCGUUUCACUUCAACAACCCAUCAGGACUCUAGACAUCCUGAAUUCAAACAACCUCACAGGGGCUACAUAAUAAAACUUGAUGGCUUACAUUCGAAACCAUUCAGACCGAAAUGAAAAAUAAAUCCCCGGCCAUUGAAGCUAAAACGAAUGGACUGUAUAAUUCUCACAAAGAUUGUCACCUAAAUUUAUUUGUAUUUCAAAUUCAUUUACCAGACAUAUAGGCAUCUCUAUAAAAUUUGGAAAUACACACAUUGAAAGGAAACGUUCCGAUGAAAUUAAUUAUGUAAUCUUCAGAAGUAUUAUUUUUAAGAGAUUCAGUCUCGAUGGCUCAGUGGUAUCAUUUUUUAUGGGUUGCAGGAUAAUAUACGACCUCAAUUCUAAUGAUUUUGUAUUUCUUUGAGGUUCACCGUCAAAUGAAAAUUGUUUGAGUCUAUAUCGAACACCUUUUCACCAUGUAAAACCUAAAACAAACAACAUUAAACAUCAACUCAGAAACAUAUUGAGCUGUUAGUAUAAAAACAAGAGUCUUACUACAAAAAUACUAACUAAAAAGAAACACUCACCAUUAGAUUAUGCUUGUAUACUAAAUUGACUUCCAUCUUAAACCUUCCGUCAGCUUAUGAAAAUCAAAAUAAUUCUCCUGAUGGUGUACUCAUUCGACGCAAGAAUUUGGAAUCAAUAGCAGCGAUAAAAGCACAUAUAUAUAUAUACAGAGGCGAAGCUUUGAGGAGGCUAACCCGGGCUGUAGCCCGGGUUAGUUUCUUGAAAAAAAAUAUUAAUUAAUUAUACAUUGUUUUAAAAAAAACUUAUAGUAAAAUAUAAAAAUAUAACUAAUAAUUAUAGUCAAUAUCUAUUUUCUCUAAAUUGAAAAAUUAACUCAAAUCCCUAACUAAUUGAUUCAAUUAUCUAAAUUUUAAAUUCCCUAAAACUUAGUUGUUCAAGUCAUCAAGUUGCCACCUCAUGAGUGACAGCCAGCCUUUGGCGCACCCACAUGCUCAUAUUGUUUUUGAAUUAGUUAUUAGCUUAUACUUUUGUCAAAUUUUUUUGAUAAAAUAAUUAAUAAUUAUCUAAUGUAUUAUUAUCGCAGACAAUAUAAUUCAAAUACGAUAAUAUAUGAGUUUUCUUUUUUAAAGAAUCGCAGGACGAAAUUUCGUCGAUAGUAUUUUUUUUAUUUACAUUGUAUUUUUUUUAAUUUUAUUAUUAAUUUUUUACUUGUCUAGUGUAUUUUAAUAAUUUCUUUUGUAUAGAAUAAUUUUUUUGUGAAGUAAUUGAAUUAAAAAAAAAUCUAGCCCACCCUAAAAAAUAGUGCUAGCUUCGCCACUGUAUAUAUAUAUAUAUAUAAUUUGUUUCACCAUUAAAUUAACGGAAUAGAAAAAUAAAGACAGUAAAAAAGCAAAAACGAGAAGCAUAUAUAUAUACAUAUCUCCUAUAUCCUUUCUUGAAAAAUUGUUAAAUUAACUCUUGACACAUCAUUAAGCAUAUAUACAUAUCAUUAAGCAAAUCUAGUUGGAUUCUGUUUGUAGGCAAAAGAUUUACGUUUUGGUUAUUUUAGAAACAAAGACACCUAAAACAGAUACAACACUGUAUACAUAUAUUAUAUAUGAUAAAAGGAUAAAACUGUGGUGCAACUGUGGUACCGUGCCACAGUUGCACCCAACCGUUGAAUUCCCACUUAUUCAAGUGGACCCCACUCAUUUGAGUGGAUCUAACGGCUGGUGCAACUGUGGCACGGUAUCACAGUUGCACUGUAGCCUGACCCAUGAUAAAAUACACAAGAAACUAAUUACCAACAUGUGAAUAGUUUUUAAAGUCUUGAUCUUACCAAUGUUGCUUGCUUCGUUUGGUAUCAGUUUGUUCUGCAAAGGCAGCUGCUUCCGCUCUAUUAUUACUCAAGUCAACCUACCAUAUAACCAAAAAAUAAAAUAUAGUAAGAAACAAAACUUGUAAAGAAACUAUCUUUUGCAUGCGAAUAAUAAUAAUAAUAAUAGUAAUUAUUAUUGGCUUGCAGAUAUAGUAAUUAUUAUUGGCUUGCAGAUACCAAUGAAUUGAAUUCGAAGGAAACUAGGUGCUUAGUGAAAACUUAAUUAAAAGUGUGAAACCUGAAAUUAAAAUGCAUGCCAAGAGAACAUACAUUUACAGGUUUUGGCUCUUCUGUUUUGAAACUGCAUGCUCUCUAUCGAUCUGGCUAUAAAUAAAAGAUGUUACGAGAAAGAGUAUUAUUGAGUGGCAUUAAUAAUUAACUAAUGUAUUUUGGUGAGACUCAGUAAUUGCACCCACCAACCUAUGGAUACUGGGGACAUGAUCUAAUUAAUUUGGCAUUAAUUAAAGGAAAAUGUAGGACUCGUUUGGUGGUUGGUUAAUUGCCUAGUGCCUGCAGCCGGACAGUAGCAAGUCGACUACUCGAGCAAUACAAUUUCAUUGAUGACAAGACCCUUGGAAUCUUCAUGGUCUGAUUACUUUCUGGAUUGGAAAAUCUGAAUUCAUAAUUAGAAUAAUUGAUGAAGUUUAUUUUGUAAAAUAGAAGUGGAAAUUAAAAUCAGAAUCAUGGGACCUACCUCAAUUUAGAAAUGAAGAAUGGAAGACUGACUCCCAAAUGGGUGGGAAUUAGUCUCCCAUCCCCAACACUCCCCAAUUUGCCUUUAUCAAAAUCUCAAAAGGCCAAAAAUACCCUCAUUUAAUUAAAAAAAAAAAAAACACAGCCAAAAUUCAUCUCUGCCAAACCGUUGCUUCCAAAAUUAACGUCGUUGGUCAUCAAGCAGCAACAACAGCAUUGUCCAACUGAAGCAGUGUCGUCAAUCAUCAAUAGUAGCAACGUUUUCAAGCAACAACAGCAAUAGCAUGAUCCAAUGGCAACAGCCAUUGUCGAUGAUGAUGCCGACGAUGCCGCUUGUUGUUGAUAAUGAUGUCACUCGUCAAUGAUGAUGAUGAUGAUUAUUAUUAUUAUUAUUAAUGAUAAAAAAUUAUAAUUAAUUAAUAUAUUAUUAACAAUAAUAAUAAUUUUUGAAUAAAUAAUCAAAAUAAUUAAAAUACAAAAUAAUAAUUAUGACAAUAGUUAAUUAAUGAUUUUUUAAUAAUUUGUAACACAUUCUGAUUUCGAGACAAAGUAAAUACAUUAAUGACAAUUCAGUUCAUUCCGAUUUAAAUUCUUACAGUUCAAGUAAAUAAUUUAUUUUGAUUUUCAAUCCUCAUUUCCAUGACAGUUCAUUAUAAUUCAUGUCUAUUCUAAUUCUUGUUUAAUAAAUGCAUCAUAAAUCUUUUAAGGCAGCCAGCUGCUAUUCAGUGUCCAAAUAUCUUGGAGCUCUAUGUGUCCAAACAUUGAGGCUACUGCUUUGGGAUGAAAGACCUUAAUUUCGAUCGGAAGUUAAAUCUGUAUAAUAAUUAACUUAACUUUUUCAUACCUCAUCUGUUUUGGACCUUUUCGUACAAGCAUGGUAGGUAGAAAUUAAUUACCUCGGUGACAGGAGCAAAUGGAGUGUGCAAAAACAAGCAAGUGAAUACGAAGCCCAUGUCAACGUUAUGAUAUUAGAUUAUUGGGUUUAUGAAAAUUAAGACGCCAAACUAAAAUAAAAUGUCUUUUUAUUUGAUUAUUAUAUUUUUACAUGUAAAUUAUAGUAUGAGGAUAGAUCUAUGCAAGCAUAAAUCAUCAGCUGCAGCAUUAUUUCAAUACCAUCCGACAUUGAGGGAUCACCCGCCGUUUGGCUCUAGUAAUUCCUUGGAGCCUACCAAAAUUGCCGUAAGAGAAAGAGAAAUAAAUAUUUGAACCAGUAUUCGGCUUGAAUAAAAAUUAUUACGAAAGAAUAAAUGAAAAAAAAAAACUCACCAUUUGCUGGGCCCAUAAUGAACACUUCAUCACCAUGUGAAGCCCUAGAAGAGAGAGUAUCAAACAUUUAUUCUUAAAGCAUUAUUUGCAAGAAUGUUAUGCAGUUAAAACAGCAAUGCAAAAUGACAGAAAGAUUAAUAUGAUGGUACAUUUACUAAAUGAAAAUCAAAAUAAGAUAGAAUGGAAAUUAAAACAAGUUGUUUACUUGAAUUAUAAUAUUCUGAAUUGGAAUGAACUUUACUUCCAUUAAUUUGUUUACAUUGUUUUAGAACAAUAACGAUAGCAAUAAUAAUGACAAUAAUGAUAACGAUAACAACAACAACAACAACAACAAUACUAAUAAUAAUUUGAAUAAUCAACAAUCGACGAGUACUGCAUACUACCAGCGACGAUCACUAGUGCAAGGCUGAUGAUUUGCAUCGGUGCAAGGCUCUGCUCUGUUUGACAGGAUUGUGUGCGACAGUGGUGCACGACGACCGGCUCUGCUAAGUUCGACGACUGGCAUGCAACGAUCAUGGCUUCUGGUUCUUAUCAAUCGACCGUGCUAUUUUUUUUCUCUCUUUUUUUUUUAACCAAGGAUAAAUCCAGGUUUAUGAAUUUUGUUAGAGAGCAGAUUUAUUCCGAAGGUGGGAAUCAAUGACCUUUUGAUUAUGAUUCCUUCUUUUACUUUAAACAUUGUCAACUAUUCCAAUUAUGGAUUCCAAUUCCUCAAUCCGGAAUGUGAACUCACCGUAAAUGUUUCCGCAAAAUCAACAUACAUAACAAAUGUUAACUUACAUGGCCCUUUAGUCAUGAGGGAGAGUGUGCUAGAUUAUAUUAUAUUACAGCUGUUAUAUACCUGGAUCAACGGCCUAGAUUUAGUAUAGAAUAACAACAGUUAAUAUGAAUGAGGGGAUCUUGUCUAUAAAGGGUACAGUCUGUUGCUUCUCAACGGCAGUGGUGAGUCGUCGUCAACCUUAUCACUAUGAUAUUUCCACGAAGCUUCUUGCUUUUGAGUGUCUACAACGACCUGAGGCUGAUGAUUUGCACUUACCGAGUCUUAGAAUAUUGUAAUUGUUGCUUCCCGCAAAAUCGUAAACUCACAGGCAUAUCAUCAAACACUAAGUUACUUUCAUCAAACACUUAUCAUUUCAACAGUCAUUAAUUGCGCUGACCUGCUGCUGCUGCUGCUGGCCUUUAUUUUUAUUUUUCCAUUUCCUACCAUAACUCUUGCAAGUUUAAUUAUUUUUUGCCCUUUUUUUUAAAUUGUAAUUUUAGUAAUACAUUAUAAUCUAAAAGUUAUUGAGAGUCAGAUCAAUUCAUAUAUUUAUAAGCAAAAGUUGUACUAUACAUCUCGAGAUAUAAAUAUAUUUCUAAAAUUAUUUGAGUCAGGUCGCCCGUCAAGUUAUAUAUUUACUCACAGUCACACACACAGACACACGGUAGAUAGAUUAAGUAUUAAAAAGUCAAAGAAAAAUAUUUAGGCUCAUUUACUUUUUGAUCAAAACUUAGCAGAGUCACAGCACUCACAAGUGGUUCGAACCCAUGGGGCGUAAUAUCUUUUUCAAUUAUAGAAAAUAAUUGAGUAAAAAUAGUCUUUUUUUUUAAUAAAAUAUGAGUAGAAUAAAUGUCUCUUACAUAUUAGAGAUGAUUAGAAUCUAAGCAAUCAGUAUGAGUUAUAAUAUGAGUUAUAAUAUGAACAAUAAUCUCAUAUAAUUCCAAAAAAUACCAAUUUCUAACAAUUAAACCUCUUGGUUACACCUAACCUUACUUAAGACAUUAAGGAUAUUAAAUGAGGCACCAAGCCUCCCAUCCAUAAAUGUUUCAACUUUCGAAGCACAAAGCUCAGAGCCCCGAAACCAUUUGCCUUAGUAGUAAUUUGCAAGAUUCACCAAAGAAGUGUGCUUUUGAAAGAGGCUGCUACUGGUGUUGAUUUUUUAUGUCACAAUCUCAGCUCUUGGAUUGGUGGGCUGAUUUUUCCAGAAGAACUUCUGGUGUAUAUGUAUAUAUCUAACAUUCUCUGCAUUGGUUAUUUUUCUUGCUGGGUUUGUUUGUUUUGGUGUUUUUAAGGGUAUUUGAGGUGAUUAAUUAAUAUUUUGCCAACUUUUGUGACAUGGGUCCAAUUUCAUUAUAUAUGAAAUGGUACAUAAAUUGAAUCUCUUACAAAUGGAGUUUGAUACGUCUGUUUGCAGGCAUCAUAUAUUCUCUGUUCAAGCACCAAGCUAUGUGGAUGCAAGAACAAGUUUUGUUUUUUUUUUUUUUUACUACUCGGAUUUAUUGUUAAAUUCUGAUAGUUUCUUAUUCUCGCAAGUUGAUGAUGUCCUUUAAAAGUUUUUACUGAGCUUGUUUGUCAAAAGGUGUUCGAUAUGACUCAUCGUAUAAAACUCAAUUGUAGAGAGAGAAUGACAUAUUAUCUCGUUAUAUGUUGGAACAGAACUCCACCAUCUAACGAGAUUGUAUCUCCUUUUUUUCUCAACAGCUUUACGUUUUAUAUGAUGAGUCUAUAACGAACACCUUUUCAUAAUAUAAACUCCUAACAGAACUUUUAACGGACAUCUACUUAAAAGAAUAAGAAAAUAUUGAAAUUUAAAAAUAAUAAUCUGGAUUGUGAAAAAAAAAUCUGCAUAAAAAUGAAAUUAAAGACAAUUCCAAGAGAUUGCUGCACAGACAAGUGUAGUUUGGCAUUUCAAGUUUGAAGCGGAUGAGGUGGAUACAUGUUACAACUGUGAGGGUUUGGCUCUUCUGAAUGCAAGGAACGGUACACCCAUAAUUAACAAGAUUGUGACUAAUGAUAUAUGAAUGUCACAUCUGUAACCCUUUAAAUUGAAAGUUUUAUUUUAAAAGUUUUUGCAGCCACGGAAGCUCUUAUAUAUUCUCUGUUCCACUACUUUAAAUUCCAUAAAAUUUCAGAACAUUAUAUAACCUCACUGUUAACAGCUGCAAUAGAAAACAUAGACACAACUGAGCUACAGCUUCACAAUGAAUACAAGAGGAAAAUUUUUACUAGUUUUCACAAAGGUUGUCUAGUGAUGCUGGUGUGUGAUUUGGACACAGAGUGCCAACAUUUCACGAAUAUAAAAGGCUAAUUUGAUUCAAUUAUGAGAAAUCAAUCCACAAUUUGAAGAAUUAAUUUUUUUUUAAAAUAAUUGUGUAUGAUUAAACUGUCACUAUUUUUUAUACUCAGAAUCCUAACACAUAAUUAAAAUUAUGUCAUUUUCUUAAAAAAAAUACCAUCGUUCAGGCAAUUAAAAAAAAAAUCCUAAAACAUAAUUUUGACUUCAAUAAUUGCUCAACAAAUAUUUUGCAAAAGCCAACUCAUUUCACAUUAAUUCACACCUGUCAUCAGAUUAUCCUCAUAUAUAUGCUUCAGAAAACAACAAAUAAAAAUUGCGUCAUUCCUUCAUGUUGGGCAAUUUGCAGCCUCAAGCUCACGGUUCCCUGAUCAUGACUCAUGGCAUGACUCGUGUUCGUUUCACAACUAUCAAUAAUUGCCUCAAGUUUUAAUCUUGCUUGAUCUCUAGUUUGUGUUGAGAACGGUGCUGCAUGCAGCCAUGGAAGCUCUUAGACUCUCCUCGGUUUCACCUUUUUGUAACGCUACAUUCAAACUUGAGUACAAUAAGACCCACUUCACUAAGCCCAAGUUCUUAAGCUUUCAGUUCAGUUCCCUGUCCACUUUAUCAUCUUUCUCAUCAAAACCAUACAAAAUCUUCACCACCUUAUCACCAUCGUCACAAGUUUCAACUGAAGCCACAGACCCACCAGAAAGAGAGCUUGAAACUAACUCACAAGAGGAGAAAUUUGAUUGGUUCUCACAGUGGUAUCCAUUGAUGCCGGUGUGUGAUUUGGACAAGAGAGUCCCUCAUGCAAAGAAAGUGUUGGGGCUUGAUGUCGUGGUUUGGUGGGACAGGAAUGAGAAUGAAUGGAGAGUCUUUGCUGAUGCUUGUCCUCACAGAUUGGCUCCUUUGUCAGAAGGAAGAAUUGAUCAAUGGGGAAGGCUUCAGUGUGUGUAUCAUGGCUGGUGCUUCAGUGGCUCGGGUGACUGUAAAUUUAUCCCUCAGGCUCCCCCAGACGGCCCCCCGGUAACAUCUAUUGCUUCACUUUUGCAUCACAUUCAUAUGUUUUAUUAUGUUUUGUGUUGCUAUAGAUGCUUUUGCGGUUGUCUCGCUUAUGUGUAGAGUGAGAUGCUAUAGUUUUGUCCAAUUAGAAUCUCUUCUAGGCAUAGAGUUUGUUUGUUUAUAAUUGUUGCGCUUCAGCGCGUUUUUUGCCCGAAAGCUAUCCCGGAAGGACUUACAGACUGGAAGUAAUAAAAUAGGUCAAGGGUCUAAUUCCAAGGGGAUACGUUUAAUUCUGAAAGAGCAGUAGCUAAUUAAAUGUUUGGUAAAGCCGCCACACCUCUCAUCUUCAGUUUAAUUGUGAAGGAACAAUGAAAGAUAAGGGGAAUACAUGAAUUAUGAUUCCAUUGCUUGCUUGAUAAAAUUUUGUUUUGAUUUUUCUGCAAUCUAGUUUUGAUUUUUUGUUCUUGCAUGCAGUUGUUGUUAAGAUUUCUACUUUGCUGGGUGGCUGAUUGCUUUAAUUUUUACCAACUUAUUUGUCAAAAUAUGUAGGUCCACACAUUCGAGAAAGCAUGUGCAGCAGUUUAUCCAAGUACCGUCCAGCAUGACAUCGUAUGGUUUUGGCCAAAUAUUGCUCCUCGGUACAAGGAUAUUAUCAAGACUAAGAAACCUCCUCACAUCCCGGAACUAGAUGACCCGUCAUUCACAAAAUUGUUUGGGAACAGAGAUAUACCUUAUGGGUAUGCAAUGAUCCAGUCUUCCAUUUUAAUUUGAGCGAGUUAGCACACGAAAUUCUAGAUUGAAUUUGUACUAUACUGAUAUUUGGCAAGAGUCAUUAAGAAAACUAGUUGAACUUAAGUGUAAUGACAACCUGGUCAAUGCAAGUUAACAACUUUUUCUAAUUGCAAGUAAGUUGCAUUUUCAGUUAUGAGGUCUUAUUGGAAAAUCUUAUGGACCCUGCUCAUGUUCCAUAUGCACAUUACGGAUUGAUGCGUACAAGGAAACCCAAAGGUUGAUAAAUUCCUAGAUAAACCUUGUUCUACGUUUAAGUCAUUUAUAUUCUCUUCGUGAAUAAAACCUAUUAGUUAAUACUAAAUUUUCUUUACAGUGAAGCUCGAUAGAGAAGGGGGAAGACCAGUUGAAAUGAGUGUCAAUAAAAUAGACAUAAAUGGUUUCAUUGGAAAGCAGGAGUGGGGAAGUAGCAAAUUUUUGGCACCUUGUAUCUUUUUUGCUUAUACUGAUCUUAUGAAGGAUCAAGAAAAUGGAUCUGCAUCAUCAGCAGGAGCCGAAAAGGUAAAGGUCAAUAUGUUUCAUUAUGCUCAGCUGACAGUAGAAUUUUGCACUCUUUUCAGUUCUUAUUCUAUGCUGUUUGGGCUUUCUUUUAUCCAUAUACAUUUCGGUUGGUGCAGAAGCUGGAGCAACAAAGAGCAGCUCUGAUUUUUAUUUGUGUUCCAGUUAGUCCUGGUCACAGCAGAUUAAUAUGGGCGUUCCCAAGAAACUUUCAAACUUGGAUAGACAAAGUUGUUCCGCGGUGGAUAUUUCAUAUUGGACAGAAUCUAAUUCUUGAUUCAGAUUUAUACCUGCUUCACGUUGAGGUGAUUCCUGUCUCUGUAUGCUAAAAUAAUUUUAACCUAAAGUUUUUUGAAAAUGCUGAGUGGAUUGGCGUUCAAGUCUACUGCUAGUCUAGGCCUCAAACUCAGAUUUGAGACUCGUCGACCAUUUCAUUUUACUAGAUUGGUUGUGACACCAUCCAAAAAGCAUAUUUUUGUUUUUCUUCUCAAUAGAAGGUAUUCACUUAAAUACUACUCUCCUACAAUAGAAGAAUUUAAUAGAUUCUUUCUUGUUUCUGGCUGUGAAUUACCUGACUUCUGUUUCUCUCUGCAGGAGCGAAAGAUAAUGGAUGUUGGCCCUGCUAAUUGGCAGAAAGCUUGUUUUGUGCCAACAAAAGCCGAUGCCCUGGUAGUUGGUUUCAGGAGGUGGUUAAAAAAAUAUGCCGGUGGCCAAUUCAAUUGGGGAGGGAAAUUCAAUGCGACUCUUCCACCAACACCGCCCAGGGAACAGCUCAUGGACAGGUAUCUGGGCUUCACUUUUAUAAACUUGAACCCCUUAACACCAUGUCAUGGGAUUUUACAGUAGUUCCCAGUUUUGAAACUCAUAUAAAGAGCAGAGGUUUAUGGAUAUUUAAAAGAAGCAUUAUUUGUUUCUUCAAGCUUGAGAAACAUUUUCUUUUGUGUUUUGCCAAAUUUCUUAUGCAAUGCCUUGAAAACGGGAACACUGUGAAGUUUGUUGUGACCCCAUUAAAACAUAAGAUUUCGUACUUAAUUAAAGGAAUUUUAUUCAAAUUUGCAGGUACUGGUCUCAUGUGGUGAAUUGCAAAAGUUGCAAUGCGGCACACAAGAGUCUCAGCGCACUUGAGGUCACGCUACAAGUCGUCUCCAUUGCUUCAAUUGGGAUUGUUGCUACAACCAAGCAGAAUGCCAUGUCAAUGGCUACAAGAACUACAAUCAUCUCAUUUGCAGUAAUCUGCUUUGCGGCUUCAAAAUGGUUGUCUCACUUCAUCUACAAAACCUUUCAUUAUCAUGACUACAAUCAUGCCCUUCGCUGAGCUUAGCAUUUAACGUCGAAAAUUAGAAUAUGUAAAUACAACUUAUUUUUCUGUACGUAAAUACUGGAAUGUAGCUUGUAUGCAAACAUUUUGAUCAAGUGAAAUUAGAAAGUGCAGUUGUAAUAGAAAACAUAUAAUUAUCAUCACCAUUAGCAGUUGUAAUUGUAAGUACAUUAUCAUCACCAUUAACAAUUGCAAGAGAAAACGUAUACACAACUGAACCACGGCUUCAGAAUGAACACAAGAAGAACAUUUUUACUAGUUUUCACAAUGGUAUCUAGUGAUGUUGGUGGGUGAUUUGGACACAGUGUCAUACGCCAUGAAUAUAAAAGGCUAAUUUGAAUCAAUUGCGAGAAAUCAAUCCACAAUUUAAAGAAUUAGUUGUUUUGUUUUUCAAUAAUUUCAUAAGAUUAGAAUUUCACUACUUCAUAUAAUUAGAAUCCUAACACAUAUUCUAUUAAAAAAAGUUCCUAACACCCAGGUUGAUAAAAUUAUACCUUUCUUAAAUAAAAUUCCAUUGUUUAAAUAAUUAAAAAAAGAAAUCCCAAAACAAAAUUGUGACCUUAAUAAUUACUCUACAAAAUUUUUGCAAAAGUCUAACUCAUUACACACUAAUUUACUCCAAUUGAUAAUUUUCUUUUCCUUCCGUUAUCAUGUGUAGUCUCAAUAUUUUCUAACCCAUCAAAAUUAGUUAGUUCAAUAUUGACAUUCUUCUCCUAAAAAUAUGUAUUAUUAUAUUUACUAGCAUAUUAAUUAGAUGGUUAAAUAUCACCAUCAUUUGGUACAAAACCCAUAGAUGGCGCAACAAUAUCUUUAAACAAAAUUUCUAAUUGGUCAACAUUUCUCAAGCCUUUAUAACGAAUUUUAAUUGUUUUGAGAAUCUCCUACAAUAAUACAAAAGGAUUAUGUGUUAAAAAUAUGUCUAAAUUGCUCCUAAAAUCAUUUCCUAGUACACCAAAAAAUAAGAAGGUUAGAAUUUGCAACUUCAAUCCUCUCUCCCAUCAGUCAUCGCUAGUAGUAUUUGUCUGUUUUACAACAUCCCAUCCUAAACCAAUUUCAUUCUCAGCAAGUUUGUCCAAAGUUGCCAAUCUAUUUUAGGAUGUCCCACUUAUUUUUCAAUGUUUCUAUUCAUAAUCUCCAUUGGUCAUAGAAUAAAAAUUAGCAACGAGACUUUUCCACCCAAUCAUAUUAAAGUGACUAUUUGGUUUGAUUCCAAGCUAAUGUCUCACUCAUACAAAUCUUAAUAAAAGCACCAGUGGUAACAUCAUCCCAAUCUGCCUUUGAUUUACUUUUCCUUUGCAACAGUAACGAUUCUAGACAAAGGAUAUGUAAUAUUAUUACAUGAAAAACAUAAUGCACAAAUAAAAUGAAGAUGAAAUGAAUUUCAAAUAUAAAUUAAUAAUUGGCAUGCAUUCUUGAAUAAGAUAAUAAAAAGAAGAAUGAAAACUGUAGCAAGUAUCAAAUAUCAAAUAGUAGCAUAGUGAAAUGUGUUCAUCAUAUUUCUAAUAAACUAGAUUUAUUUUAACAGUGAUGAGGGAAACAUCGAUGCCUGCUAUGCACCUCACCAAAGUUGUGACAAUGAGUUUUCUAUCAAAUGAUGGCAAUAAUUUAUUUUGUGUAAGGUUUUGUAUAAAAUAAGUAAAGCGGCGGCAAUCUCAUUAGAACCAAAAAAAAAGAGAAGUAGCAGCAGUUAGUUUUUUAUCAAAUGGUGGCAAUUAAUUGUUAUUAUGUAGGUUUUAUAUAUAAAUAAGGGUAUUAUGUAAUUAAUGAAAUGUUCUUCAGGAAUUGUUGAUAUAUAUAUAUGUAUUUAAAAGUUCUUUAAUCUCCAUUCAUAAAAGCUCAAAUUCCAGAUUUUGUUAAUGGAGGCAAAUUAACUUAUUUGAACUGAAAAAGAUAAACUAAAAAAACACUAAUAACUAAUUUAAAAAGAGCUUAUAAAAUUAAAUAAGUACUUAUAGCCGUUAGAUAAAUUAUACCAAACAAAUAUUUUAAAGGAAAGCUGAGUCUAUAUACAUUUUAUUCUUUUCCUAAAUUUAUAAAAUAGUUAUUGGACUACUUCUGCUACUGUUUUUUUUAGUUGAUCUCAUUCCUUAUUCAAUUGGCUGUUGAUAUAUAAAUUUCCAUUAUCUUUUCUCGAUCUUUUUUCUUUACUAGAAGACUGUAAAAGCAUGAAUCGAAAUCCAACGACAAUGUCCUUUUAAUAUUCUUGCUUGAAGAUAUAAGAAAAAAAUAGAUUAAAGAACUUCUAAGUAGGUGUAUAUAAGAAAGAGUUAUGCUACAAAUAUACAAUUGGAAUAAAUAAUUUACACCCCAAAUGAUAUGAACAAUGAUGUGUCAACAUUUAAUUGGUGAUGUAAUAUUAUCUUAUCAAUAAUGAAAGCUAAAACCAAUUGGCGCCUAAGAGGCUAAGACAUGUCAAUUAAUUGCUAAUGACACAUUACUAAUGAUACAAAGUAUAUAUUUACUUAAGAAAAUGGUGGAAAUUGACAAAUGAGAUGGUCUACUUUUAGCCUUUGAUGAUUUCUAUCCAAAAUCUGGCGUGGGCUCCGCAGCCGAGCCCACACCAGCGACUAUUUGGGUCUUCAAUGUAAAUGAGCAAAAGUUAUAGAGAAGAAAAAAAAAGAAAAGAAAUUUAUUUCAAUUUAUGAUAUGUUUUGAUUAGCAAUGCUAGUUCAUGUAAUGUCAUUUCAAAAGAAAAGUCACACCUGCUAAUUCAAUUUUUUUUUUAAUUUCUGAGAGGAAUUUAAAACUUUAAUUAUUAGGUGAUAUUUUCAUUUACCAUGAUAUUACUAGUAAUGUUGAAUCGUAUCAUUAACUACUUAAUAUGGUCGGUGACUUAACACAUACGAUACAUUAUUUCAACAUAAUUUAUAGUAAAAAUAGUCCAUUAUCUUAUGCAUGUCCUACAUGACUAAGAUAAUAGAAAUUAAUUUUAGUCAAUUUUGACCAAAACAAGUCAAGUUUUUAUUUUUGAAAUUAAUUUUAGUCUAAUUAGUUAAACAUACGCUUCCAAAAUAAUUCAUUUAGUUGUAACUAAAAACCAUCUCAUUUAUAUAGUCAACAUUGUUGCCCAUAAAAUUAAAAAGUUCAUAAUUUCGCAUGUCUAAUAUUAAUUCUCAAGGAAAAAUGCAAUUCACCCAUUAAUUUAGGUGUAACUUAACCAUGAAUAAUGCAUGUACGCUAGUAAAGAGAUGCAAAAAUGUUCUUCAUACAGAAUGUUUUCCAUAAAUAUUACAAAAUAUAAAAAAAAAUGUAAAAUGUUUGUUUUAAAGUGCCAAAAGAAAAUUAAUAAAAAUUCAACAAAACUUAUAAAUCGAGUAAAUGCGUCGCCUUACACAAACAUAAUUAUAAUUUGAUAAAAUUAUGCUUUUUUCUUAAAUAAAAUUCCAAUUUUCAAAUAAUAAUAAUAAAAAAAAAGAAAUCCUAAAACAUAAUUUUGACCUUAACAAUUACUCUACAAAUAUUUUGCAAAAGCUAGCCAACUCAUCUCAUUAUCCUCAUACAUGAACAAAUAAAAAUUGAAUCUGGUAUUGAGGGGACGUGCUCUUUUUUUCCGGCGAAUUUUCGAUGGCAGAUAAUCUACGGAGGCUGUUUAGCAUAGUGAGGAGCCUUGGCCCCCGUAGCAGUCAAAUAAAACGGCUUAGCUAUUGAAUAAUUUUGUGGCAUCCAUUCACACUACUUGUAUAGCGCUAUUAAAUCACUCAACGACUCCUGACUUAUUCAGUUGGACUCAACAAAUGUUGACUGAUUCAACUACAAGGAAAUGAAAUGAAAGACACAAACAUAAGAGACGCAUUAAUUUAUGUUGGACUUUUCAGCGUCACGGUCAGAGUCCACUGAUCAUGACUCAUGUGGCGCACGUUCAUUCGCAAUUAGCUAUAAUUAUCUCGAGUUCUAACCUUGCUUGAUCUCGAUUUUUGUGCAGAGUAAGGUGUUGCAUGCAGCCAUGGAAGCUCUCUUACUCUCCUCAGUUUCACCAUUUUAUAACACUCCAUUAAAACUUAAGUACAACAGAACCCACUUCACUGCUAAGCCCAAGCUCUUAAGCUUCCACUUCAGUCCACUAUCCACUUUAUCAUCUUUCUCAUCAAAACCAUCCAAACUCUUCACCACCUUAUCACCAUCAUCUCAAGUUUCAACUGAAGCCACAGACCCACCAGAGACAGAGCCUGAAACUAACUCACAAGAGGAAAAAUUUGAUUGGUUCUCACAGUGGUAUCCAUUGAUGCCGGUGUGUGAUUUGGACAAGAGAGUCCCCCAUGCAAAGAAAGUGUUGGGGCUUGAUGUCG
rnacentral:lncRNA from 1 species